UUCUCUUCUUUGAACUCAAAGUCCCAGUUAAUAUUAGAAUCAUGGGUGUUGUCACUUAUGACUAUGAGUCUACCUCCCCAGUCGCCCCUUCCAGGCUUUUCAAGGCCUUUACUGUUGAAGCUCCGAAAGUUUGGCCCACGGCUGCACCUAAUGCAGUCAAGAGUAUUGAGGUUGAAGCUAAUCCUAGCUCUGGAAGUAUCGUAAAAAUCAACUUUGUUGAAGGUUAGUUCUUUCAUUGGCCUUUUUGUAGUCUGUUUUACACGAGUAUGUUGGAUAACAAGUAUUUAUUUGUUUAGGCCUUCCAUUCCAAUAUAUGAAGCACCAGAUAGGAGGACAUGAUGAAAAUAAUUUUUCAUACAGUUACGAUUUAAUCGAAGGUGGGCCUUUGGGGGACAAACUUGAAAAAAUCAGCUAUGAGAACAAGUUUGAGGCAGCUGCAGGUGGAGGAAGUAUUUGCAAGAGCUCAAUGAAAUUCUACACUGUUGGCGACAAUGUAAUCACUGAAGAUGAAAUCAAGGCUCUCAUUAAGGGAAGUGAGGGAGUUUACAAGCCUGUUGAAGCUUAUCUAUUGGCUAAUCCUGAAUCCUGCAACUAGGAUAUUGGUUGCUUUGAAUUCUGAUUCUUGGUUUUAAAGAGUGGUCAUUGCUUUUAAUGGUGUGUUUUUUAUAUUUUCUUUUUCCUUUUAAAACCUAAAUUGUCUUCUAAUUAUUUACAUAAGAGUGGUGGUGAUCGAGCUUUUGUCAUCUUUAUUUUCAUUACAGUCAAAGAAUUUGGGUUGUCUUUGACAUAUAUAGAAAUAAAAUAAACAAAUAAACUCAAAAAAAAAAAAAAAAAAGGUUUUACCUGGUAUAUUGAUGAGUGAAAAUUCACAGUCCAUAUUAGAGAUGUGCAUUCGGUGGUUGGAACGAUUUGAUUAUUUUAUAACAAUAAUCGAAUAAAUAAAAAAUUUUACUGCAAUUGAAUUAAUCGAACCAAACUUAAAAAGGUAAAAAUGAAACAACCGAACUGAAUUUAGUCAAUUCGAUUAGAUUUAGUUAAUCGAUUUUUGCUUUUUUUUGGUUUUUAACUUAGUUGAACUCCUCCGAUCCAAAAAUUCUUCACUGUUCGUGUCGGCAUGUUUGUUCCUCACAGAAUGGGAGCAAACAGUAGCCGCCUUACCUUUUGCUAUAAAAAGGAUUUUAGCCUUUGCUUUCAAAAUCAUCCCAAUCUCUCCAAGAAAGUGUGUAAUCUUUAUUUGUUUAGGCCUUCCAUUCUAAUAUAUGAAGCACCAGAUCGGAGGACAUGACGAAAAUAAUUUUUCAUAUAAUUACAGUUUAAUAGAAGGUGGGCCUUUGGGGGACAAGCUUGAAAAAAUUAACUAUGAUAACAAAUUUGAGGCAGCUGCAGGUGGAGGAAGUAUUUGCAAGAGCUCGAUGAAAUUUUACACUGUUGGGGACAGUGUAAUCACUGAAGAUGAAAUCAAGGCUCUCAUUAAAGGAAGUGAAGGAGUUUACAAGCCUGUUGAAGCUUACCUCUUGGCUAAUCCCGAAGCUUGCAACUAGGAUUUGGUUGCUUUGAAUUCUCAUGCUUGCUUUUAAAGAGGGAUCAGAUUUUAACGGUGUGCUUUUGAUAUUUUCUUCUUUGUCUUAAAACCUAUAUUGUCUUCCGAUUGUUGUAAAAAGAGUGGUGGUGGUGGAAUCAAGCUUUGAUAAUCUUUGACAUAUGAAAUAAACAAAAAUAUAAACUGGCAAAAAUAAUAAAAGCUUUACGUGGUAUAUAAUUUACAGUUUUCCUGAUAGACUACAAUUUUUUUUUACACUAAAACCUCGAUAAAUGAAUAUUUGAUAAAUUAAUAAUCUUGGUUAAAUAAUAUUUUUUCUUGGUCCCGACUUGAGUCAAAAGGAUAAAAUAAUAACCUGGCUAAAUGCAUAAUAUAAUAAUUUUUAGAAAGAAUCUUUAAGGGCCCAAUGAAAAUAUAAAAUAAUAAUUCAUUAAAUAUAUUAAGAUUUUUAUAUACCAUACAUAAAACUAAAAUGCUUUCUAGACAACUCUUACUCUUUUUCAAUUUUAUUCUUUGCUAAAAUAUACAUCUAUAGUUAACUGCUUCUUCUUUGCAUGUGAAUCAAAUACAGUUUUAUUUUUAACUUUUAGAAGGGCAUAAACCAAAUCUGGUAUAUUCUUCUUGUGUUGUAUUAAAUAAUUUUUCAAGGUAUCUACAACUAGAAAAGCCUCUUUUGGAGAAACAUGUGGCAAAACACUAUUGUCAUCAUCAGUUGGCACAUUCAUUACUCCUUGAAUAAUUUCUUCAUCCGUAGGUGACUUAAUCAAAGAUUCAUUUUCACUUGGAUAAUUUAAAAUCUGCUCAACAUCUAUGGCAUUUCUAUAGUGUAAAUCUGAAAUUACUUCUUUUAAUUUAUGAAUGUCUUCAACAUCACCAAUUUCUUGUUCGAGAGGCAUAUCCUCCUCGGAUCGAAUUUUGCAAAGUCGAAAACAAUUUGCAAUAGUUGUAGGCUUCACAUCAAUAUUCACUACAACAAAACAGGUUUUUAGCGGCAUUUUUAGUAGCGUUUGGACAAAAAACGCCACAAAAGGUUAGAGCUAUAGCAGCGUUUAUGAGAAAAACGCCGCAAAAAAAAUUUAUUUUAAACAAAAUGGAGCCGUUUUGCUUCCUGUCUAUUUAUUAUUUAACUAGUUUCUUUAUAUUAAAAAAAUACAAUUUAUUUUUAAUUGAAUGUUUAAAAUCUUUAGAAAAAAUUAAUGACAUAGAAAAAAUUUGAAAGUAAAAACAUAGAAAAAUAUAUGUUAAAAAUGAAAAAAAUUAAAAUACUAUUAUUUAAAAAUUAUAGUUUUUUAAUUUAUGUAUUAAAUAAUUUUUUAUAUAAUUUUAAAAGAGAUAAUAUUAAUUUUAAUAUAUUAAAAUUAUCAUUAUGGUUUAAAUUAUUUAAGAGAUAAUAGAUAAACUUUAUAUAUAAUUAAAAUUAAAAAAAUUGCUAACCCAUGCAUUUAUAGAAAAACAAAAUUAAUUAGUAAAUUGAAACAGUUAUUUAAAUUUCCUAAAAUAUUGAAAGAAUAUAUAAUUACAAAAGAGAAAAAAAUUUAAAGUUUUUUUUUUCAUAUUUUGAAUUUUUUUAUUUUCUUACAUAAAAAUUAUAUAAAAAUUUCAAAUUUUAUCUAAUUCUUUUAAAUAUUACUUAAAUUUUCAAAAAUUAUUUAUUUGAAAUUGAUAUGAAAGAUAUAAUAAUUCAAUAUAAAAAUUGUAAAAAAAAUAAUAUUUAAAUAAACGCCGUAAAAAAUCAUUUUAUUUUAGUGUUUAGGGUUUAGAAUUUAAGGUUUAAAGUCUAGGGUUAGGGUUUUAAGGUAUAUAGUUUAGUGUUUUGGGUUUAGGGUUUAAUGUUUUUGGGUUUAAGAUUUAGGGUUUAGUGUUUUAUAGUUUAGGGUUUAAGGUUUAGGAUUUAGUGUUUUAAGAUUUAGAAUUUAUGUUUUAGGGUUAGGGAUUUCAAUAAAAAUGACAAAAAAUUAAUUUAUUUUAGGGUUUAGGUAAGCAAGAAGAUUCUUUUUUUAAUUACUUUUGUACCUUAUAAUAUAUAUUAUUAAAUUAAUAUCAAAAGCAUAAUAAAGUAAAAAGGAGAGAGAAAUUCAUUAUUUCCAUAUUUCCUUAUACAAAAAUCCACCUCUUGGUAAUUUAGAAUUUGGGAAGUUAAGCUUAGCUCAAUUAGUGUGAGAAUUGUUGUCAACAUAAGAGAACAUGAGUUUGAGUAUGUUGAAAUGCAUUAUCUUCCUGUUUAUGAGUUGGGAAGGAAUUAUUAGUUGUUGUAGACAUAAUAUCAAAAAAGAAUUUGAGAAGUUAAAUUUUAUCAAAAUCAAUUUGGAUAAAUUCUAUCAACUGCACAAAAAAUUAAUCUUGUGGAUACAAACUCUUCAUAAGGAAGUUUGGUUUCAUUUUUUAAAAUUAUUUUCGUACACAAUUAUAAAAUUUUACAAAUUAAAUAUAUUGUUUGAAACAAAACAAACUUAUUUAAAGGAAUUUAAGAAAUAAUUAAACUAUAAAUAUUUAUUAGUAUCAAAGGCAUUAGCGGCGUUUAUGAUUAAAACGCGGCAAAAAAACAUUUUACUUUAAACAAAACGGUGCCAUUUUUAGUGGCAUUAAUGGUGCUAGGUGAAAAACACCGCAAUAGAGCGAGCAUUAGCGGAGCUAGGUAAAAAACGCCGGAAAAAAACAUUUUACUUUAAACAAAAUGGCGACGUUUUUAAUGGCAUUAGCGACACUAGGUGAAAAACGCCACAAUAGAUCGAGCAUUAGCGGCACUAGGUAAAAAUCAUCACAAACGGUCAUUUUGUUUUAUACGAAACUGCGUCGCUUUGCUCUCCUCCAUUUUAUCCCAACCCAUAUACUCGAAACACCUUAUAUUUUCCCCCAAAAAAAUUUCCCCAAAUCCCUAAAUUUUCCCCAAAUCAAAAUCCCAACCCAUUUGCUGCAUCGCCGUCGACUCAACCUUCUGCUGCAUUACCGUAACUGUCCCCUCUGCUGCGUCGCCGUCGCACUCCUCUGCCGCAACCAAUCAGUAAAUUUAACUCCUCUGCCGUCGCUUUUCCAAGAUUUAACAUGUCUAGAUUUUUAUUUAAUUAAAAUUUGACUUAUAAAAGGUGGAUUUUGGGACAUUAGAUCCCACUAAGGAGGGGAAUAAGAAAUCUUAGCCCUUGGUUUAUAUUAAGUUGGAGUAGAUAAAUUCCAGUAAGGAAGAAAGGAGAGGCUGCUUCUAUUUUCAUCAAGUAGAGUCGGUUAGGAGAAGCGUAAUGCCAAGAGAAGAAACUGUAAGUCUCCCUGCUGGUUUUCUUGAAUUUUAAAUGAAACUUAAUUAUCAAAUGGUCACGUAUAUAUACUUCCCAUCCAAUAGGAAAUUCGAUUGUGAGUUGUUGAAGAACCUAAGUAAUAUUUCUUAAGGAGAAAGAGGUAAGAAAAUUGGGUUCAUUCAUAGCAUUCAUGAGUUCAAGUAUAACGUUUGGGUUUUUAUAAAUGCUGGUUUUAGAGUAACUUUUUAUCAUGGAAAAUGGUUGUAUAUGCUUGAAGCUAGAGAAGAGAACAGGGGUGAAAGGAGUAUCAAAGGUGAAGAGAAGUUAGUGGAUUGAAGUUUGGUGUUGAACCUAGUGUCUUGGGAAGCUUAUUAAGGUUAGUGUUCUCUUGAAUUUUAGCAUGCUUGUGCGAAAUAAAAUUUAAGUAUUUACCGGGCAUGAUUGUAAAUGUAAAUAAUAUGGAAAAGAAUGGCUUGCGAUGGUUUGUUCAUCAUUUAGAAAGAUUAGCAAAUGAAUUUGACUAGGCAAGUCAUAACCGAAUUAGUAAUAUGGUAUGGUUUAUUUUUGCUAAAUGAACAUGGCAAGACAAUAUAGAAUAAUUUGAGAACCAUGUUGUAUGCUACUUCAUAAGUUACAAAAGAGUAUAGUUAAGGAGUUUAAUUUGUCAUUAUUUAAAGUAUUACAGAUAAAAAGAUAUUUCAAUUUAUAUCUUAGAAAGAAAUCCAUUAAUCCAUUAAUGCAUGGGAUCCUUAGUUUUGAUUCUAAAUUUUUAUUUUUAUUAAUAUAAAUAAUUAUUAUUCAAAGAUAUACAAUUAUUUAUUUUUAUUUAUUUAUUAAUAUACUUCUAUUCAUGUAAUAUAAAACAAUUAAGGUAUUUUAUAAUAUGAUACUUGUUUACUUAUAAAUUUUAAUAGUUUCAAUUAUAAAAACCAACACAGUCUAAUUAAAUAUUAUCAGAUUUUAGAUCUCUUUUUUUUUUUUGCUUUAACGUAUUUCAAUAUUUAUUAAUUUUAAAAUGAUUUACUUAUAUUAGUGUAAAACUCUAAUUUUACAUAUUUUAUCACUUUUUUUGUAAGGUUAAUAUUUUUACAAUCCAACCAUUAAAAUUAUUAAUAUAAUUUCAUUUAUCAUGUAAGGUUUGUAUGCUGGUAUUAUAUUUUGUCUCAAUUCAUAGGAUACUCUUGUAUACGUGGUUGUAUACUUAAUGAAAUUGCAUUGCUUGGUUGUCAACUACACAAUGACCUUGAAUCUCUUAUUAGGGUUUGGGAUUACUUUUAUAUUAAGGGUAGAUAAUUGGAAUUUUAAAUAAAAUUUAUAAAUUUAUAUUAUUUAUUAAAAAACACAAAUUUAUAAAUUAAAAGAGUAUAAUUAAAGGGUUCAAAUUUAAAGUUAAAAUUUAAAAAUGAUAAUCAUAACUUACACAACUUACAUAAUUUACAUUGACAAAUAAUAAUAUUUUCUCAUAACAUUUAUAAUUAAUCAACUUACUUUCGAUUCAAUAGGUUUGGAGUGGAAAGGAUGUCAAUGACAAAGUUAAAUAGCUUUCCCAAGGGUCCAAAUAGAGUAGUAAAAAGAUAUAGUGUCUUCAUCAUCAAUGGAUUCAGGUUUCAUACAAAAUCUCGCAAAAGAUUGAGGAGGACUCGAAAUUGUGGAAUAGUUGUUAAUUCUUCAAUUACAAGUUAUGCUAGUGCUAGGACUGUAAUCCUGUUAAGGGAAAUGUGGAGUAUUACGGACUUCCUACUGACAUUAUUGAGUUGGAUUACUAUGGCAAAUGGAAGGUUGUCUUAUUUCGAAUUGAUUAGGCUGAUGUUAAUACUGCUCGCGGAAUUAAAAAAGAUCAAUUUGGUUUUACAAUAAUGAACUACUCUCGAUUAAUUCACACUGGACAACAAUUGAUAAACGAGCCGUAUGUAUUUUCUUCCCGAUUGAAACAAGUUUUUUACUCAAAAGAUCCAACUGAUGAGGGUUGGUACGGUCCCUAGAGAGUUGUUUGACAUGGGCAAUGGAAGUAGAGAUGACAUCAAUGAAAGAUCAGAAACUUUGUCUUUUCUAGAACAAAACUUAAAUGAAACUAUCCCUAGUAUUAGUACACAAUUUCAAUGGGUUCGCCAUGAUGUGGAUGAAGAUGUUUACGAAUUAUGAUGUAGUAAGAUUUUACGAUUUUUUAAUUAUAUGUAAUAUUAUAAUUUAAAUCUUGAUCUUGUUAAAUAUUUCAUCUAUUUUAUAUGUACUAUUAUUGUUGUAAUUAGUUACUAAAAUUUCAAUUAUUUUAUGUGUAUUGCAGAUAAAAAGCCUAAAAGAAGAUUGUGAGAUCUAUGUAUUGUUCAGAAUCCCCCAAAUUGGGAAGAAACAAAUAGUGAAAAACAAACUGCUAUUGGAUCUUCGAAUGUUUCGAAUACAGCUGACGAACCUACAGAAAUUCAAAGUAAUGUUAACUUUAAUUUACAUGCGUGUUGACUUUUAUUAUUGAUUUCUGUUUCAAAUUCUUAUAUUAUAAUAUACCAUUUUUUUCAACUAAAAGUGGUGGGACACGCAAAACUCGAGGACGUACACUACUAAAAGAUUUAUACGAGUUAAAUUCUGUCGAGCGUGUCAAAGUAGAUAGAAACAGUCUUGGUCAGCCUAUUGGAUCUGUAACACACCAAAAUUUUAAUUUUGGGUAUUGUGAAUGUGUGACACAAAUAUCUAUCAGCUUUAAUGGUUAAGUGCUUUGGGUGUGUGUGGGAGGUCCUAAGUUCAAGCCAUGACUUGGGCAAAUUUUAGUAUUUUUAUAAAUAAAGCCUUAACCUAGCCUAAAGGGCUUAAGUUUAAUAGUCGGUAAUAAAUAACAGAAUGGUCUUGCCGGUUUUGUGGUUAAGUGGAGUGUUUGAUUGAAUGAGGUCUUGAGUUUGAAUCCAUGUUGGAGCGUAGGCAUUAUUUUUGCGCAGUGAUGGACGAGUAUUUCGGCAUAGUGGGAUUCUGGAGUGGUUGUAGGUUAGUAGGAUUAGUGGAGGAAAUUAAGGGAUAAUGGGAGUAGUGGUGAGAUAAUUAAGGGAUUUUGGGAUUCUAUCAAACUCUUUUAGUUAAUUUCGGUUCAUCCAAAAUUCUAUUCUCUCUUCCCCAAAAUUUUUUCCAUCGUUCUGACAUUUAUUCACCCAUUUUCUACCGAAUUUCCAUUGUUUCCUCCCUCUUUUCUUUUGAUUUCUUUUAUGCCUCCAUCGUAAUCGAUGAUUGAAAUCACUCGAUUUGGUAAAUAUUCGUUUCGCCACUUUCUCUUGUUCCGUGGUUGGUUUUAUGAAAAAGGGUUGUUUUGGUUCUUUCGAAUUAGGUGAAAAUCAAGUAGCGGUAGGUGCUUGUGUAGAGAUUUGACGUUUGGGUUUUCAGUUUGUUGCCAGUCUUGGAGUGCUUGGGAGCAUAUUUACAAUGAAACGAUACUAGGUGUGUACCCGGAACACAAAAAUAAGGGAUUUGGUGAAAAGCCGAAAUUGCUUGCUAUUUAGACACCAGCAGUAGGCUAAAUUUGAUAAAUCACCAUAACUUGUGAAAAUUUAAUUAGAGGAUGAAAAAAUAUAGGACUAAAUAUAUUUGAGUGUAGUUUCUCAUGGAAGAAACUAAGUAAGAAAAAGACUUUCAUAUUAUGAGAUAUUUGAAUUUUAGUGAGACAGGGUCAGAAUGCUUUUAGAAUCCCCUGUCCGGAUUUUUGAAAAUUAUUAAAAACUUUAUAAAAAUAAUUGUGGGUUAGAAUUUAUAUGUUUAAAAUCCAGAAUUCUAUACGAAUUCUAUACGAGAAGAUCAUCUGAAUUCUAUACGAGAAGAUAAUUAAUUUUUAGUACAAAAUGAUUGAAACUGUCAGACAGCAGAACAGGGGAAAAUUUAAAGAAUAAAAUGUACUUAUUUGCUAAAACCAAAAAUUCUGAAAAUUUUAUGGUGAGAAGAUAUGUGAGUCUAUUUUUAGGGAAAUUUUUUGGAUCUUAAUUCAGAAUUCUGUAGCUUAAGAUACAAAUAAUUUAGUAAUAAUGACUCAAGUAGACAGCUUUGAAGGAUAAUAUAAGUAAAUAGUGGAAACACAUAUGAAUAAUUAACUAGCACGGGUUACAUUAAAAUGGAUCAUGAGGCCAAGGCCAAUUUGGGUCAUGUGGGCCACACGAGUGUGUGGGCCCACACGGGCUAACAUCAUGGACUUGUAGGCUCAUUUUCACUGUUUGACUGAUAAGGUUGCACGAGUUGCCCAAGUCGACUGUGAACCUAUUGUAGGGUCGAUAAGCUCACUUAGACCCCUAAUUGACUGAAAUGAUUGUAUGACUGAUAUGAUUAAGCCUGAUGAUGUCCCACUGAUUUGAUACUAUAUGCCCUAUUUACAUGCGUGAUAUUAUGUUAUAGCAUGUCAUAUAUGUAUAUUGCAUUGCAUUUGGUUAGGGGAUUAUAAUGUUUGGAGGAAGUGUACUGAAAGGCCUCGAGCCUAACUUACUAGUAGCUCAACUGCAAACUACUGUCUAGUGUUGUAUUCGGUACUACUUGGAGUGUAGGGAUGGGUGGGUUGAUUAUAUCCCUACAUGCAGUGUAGGGUUGGACGGGGAUUGUGUGUAGAGGCUGGAUGGGUAGGAUUUUUGUGACUGUAUAUCUAUUACGCUACUGAUACUGUGAUGGGCUAAAGCCCUACUUCAUGACUGUUUUUGUAUUGGGAUGGGAUAAGGCCCAAACUGGACUAAUAUUGAUACUGAAAAGGGCUUAAGCCCAGACUGUGACUAUCUGUUUCCUAUCUGUACAUUUGUAUGGGGAUUACACACUGAGUUUACGUAAACUCACCCCUUCUGUUUAAUCUGUUCAGGUAACCCCCAGAUAUAGGCGGAUUGGUGAGGCGAAGGACUCAGUGGUGGCCACACAACUUCAUUUACACUGUUUAUUACCUAUUUAUGAUUUUACUUUUAUUUGGGAGUAUUUUGCUAUAAUUAUGGCCUUUACGAAUUUUAGUUUAAAUUUGGUUUUUAUAUGGUUUUAUGAUUUAAAUCUGCUAGUUUUAGGUAAAACUCAAGUUUUCAAAUGAAAUUAAUAUUUUAUCAAAAAUACCACGAAUGCGCAAACUAUUUAAAAGCUUCUGCAAUAAAAAAACGUUUUGAAAUUGAAUUACAAUUUGUAAAUGAAUAAUGUUUUGGAAACGAACAACAUGAUUUGAAAUUAACAUAAGGUAAUGAAAAAAAUGGUUAAAUAGAAAAGAGAAUUUAGCGACAACAUAUUUUUCGAAAAGCACUACCCUGUGACAUUGUCAAAUUUGGCCAUAACGUCUAGGCGGGGUUUGGGGUGUUACAAGAUCAGAAGCUCGACUUUUAACUGGAUACUUAGGCAUUGUAGCACAAAAUGCCAAUCUGUUUCCUAUCACUACGAGUAAGGGCAUCAUAUGCCUGAUACUAACAAAAAUAAGCUAUCGAUUAUAUUAAGGUAAUAACGUGAAUGUAAUUUAUAAUACUUUGGUUUAAGUUUCAUUUAUAUUUACUUUCUAAAUUUGUAUUUUUUGCAGGAGAGAUUUGCUUUAGAGGUCUCGGAUAAUUAUGUGAAGAAGGCAUUAGGAAAAAAAUGGAGAGACCAUAAAAGUUCUUUAAAGAAGGAAUAUUUUAAGAAAAAUAUAUGUCUUGAAGAGAAAUUGCGAAAUGUCCCGCCAGGAAUGUUGAGGUACCAAUGGGAAGAUGCAGUUAGAUUUUGGAAUUCAAAGAAAGGAGAGGUAUUGCGUACUUCCAAACUCUUAUAAUUAUUUUGGUUUAUAGUAUUUACUAUAUACGUAAUAAUAAUUUCAUAAUGUAGGAUCGUGAGCGAGUUGGAACUACAAGUAGGCAAAAACAAAAAUUCACGCACACAGCUAGGUCGAAAAGUUUUGCUUGCGUAGCUGAGACCGAGGUAUUUUGAAUUUAUUAAUUGUGUCAAAUAUUAAUUACUUUCUACUAAAUAAUAUUUUUACUACUAUACUGUAGGAACUGUCAUCUGGUCAAAAAGUUGGACGCCUUCAGCUUUUUGACAUUACACAUAGAAAGAAAGAUGGAUCUCCUAUGACUACUGAAACUGCAGAAAUUAUGGUAUAUUUACUUAUUAAAAUUUAAAUUAGUUUAAAUAUUUAUCAUGUUUAAUUAUAAUGGUUUAAUUCGUCGUUUUUAAUGUAAAUAAUGUUAAGUUAUGUUACAUUUGUUUUUAUUAUAUAUUUCAUUUCUAACUAUUUGAUUGAUUUAUUAGGAGAAACUAAAGGAUAAAAAGGCGAAGUAUGAAGCGAUCGCUUCGAGUGAUAGUUCUGUUAAUCUUGACGACAUUGAUAACCAAAUUAUUACUGAAGUUUUGGGCCCUGAAAUGUAACACCCCUAACCCGUAUCUAUCGCCAGAAUAGGGUUAUAGAGCAUUACCAGAGUUUACUAAUUAAUUUUUAGACUUUUCUUUUCAUCAAGCAUUCAUAUUUAUAACCAAUCAAAAUUAAAAUAUUAAUGAGCUAACGUUAACCGAUUUCACUUGUACAUGCCAUUAUAACCAAAAUCAAAUCAUCCAAAAUUAUCGAUAGAACCAAUGGAUAAUGUGAUAUAUCUCCAACAAGCUUCCAACUCAAUCGAGCUUCUAAUAAUCAUUUCAAUGCAUCAAAUAAUUAUACAUAUUACCAAUAAUAAUUCAAUUCCAAUAAUAAAACACACAUACAUAUAUAUAAUAUUCAUUACCAAAUAGCAUUCACUUCAAUUAAAAUUAUACAGAAUAUAGUUCAUACGAACUUACCAGGCUAAAUUGCAGAAAUACCAAAAUUCAGGGACAUUUUGGAAAUUUUCUACUUUUCUCAAAUUUCCACCCAAUCUUGAUCUAAAUUAAUAUUUCAUUCAAUUUAAUAAUUUAAAUAAUAAAACAAUUCAUUUCAUACAAUUUGGUCACUUUUUGACAUUUUUACAAAUUUACCCUUAAAGUUUUACUUUUAUUCAAUUUAGUCUCUGAGCCUAAAACGUGCAAAUUAUCCAUGCUAGCUGAAUAUUCAUAUAUAUAUUUUCCUCCUUCUCCUCUCCAUUCCACAUCCUUAAUUUAUAUAAUAUGCUUAUAUGUAACAUUAUCUAUGAUUUUACUAUUUACUUGUAAAUUUAUUCAAAACUGUCCAUUUGAGUCAUAACCAUUAAAUUAUUUUUAUCUUGAGCUACAUAACUCCAAAUUAGGAUCCGCUAAUUUUUCCUGAAACUAGACUCACAUAUCUUCUUACUAUAAAUUUUUUAGAAUUUUUGAUUUAUCCAAUAAGUACAUUUUAUUCUUUAAAGUCACCUCUAUUCUGCUGUCUGACAGUUCCGACCCUUCUUCACUAAAACUUAAUUAUCUCCUUGUAAAGAAUUCGGAUGAUAUCCUCAUUUGUUUCUAUUGAAAAUAUACUCUUUAAGGAUUUUAAACAUAUAAAUUAUAACCCAUAAUUAUUUUUGUACAAUUCUUUUAUGAUUUUCCAAAGUCAGAAUAGGGGAACCCGAAAUCAUUCUGACCUUGUCUCAGAAAAUCUAUUAUAUCUCAUGAUUUACAAUUCCAUUACUUACACUGUUUCUUCUAUGAGAAACUAGACUCAGUGCUUUAAUUCCAUAUUUUGUUCAUCCUCUAAUUUCGUUUCCACAAUUUAUGGUGAUUUUUCAAAGUUAACCUACUGCUGCUGUCCAAAACUGUUUUAGUGCAAAAUGUUAAUUACUAAGUUUAUAACUUCCUUAUUCCCUUUCUCUAUAAUAUUUCUCAUCACUUUCACUUAUUUCUCUUCACUAAUAUAUCAAUAACAUAAGAAUUUAUAUAAUAAAACUCUACUAUAACAUCUUUUCUAUGCUAUUUCAAUAAUAUCAAACUUAAAAAUAUAUUGAAAUCUCAAUGUUCUUACCUUGUCCUAUUGAUUUCAACCUUUAACUUGAUUUUCUCUCUCCUCCAGCUUUAAUUUCUUGAACCCAACUUGAUAUUCUAGCUCCCCAUAGUCUCUUUGUUAGUCUCUUUGUUAUCUUUCUCUCUUGAUGGCUAUGGAAAUUCUUUUGAUUUCUAAGUGAAAAUGGUGAAUUUUUUUGGUGGAAGGACCAAAUUGUAAAGAAAGAAAAAUUUUCUUUCUUCUCUUCUCUUCUAACGUGAAUUGCAUGGAAAAGAUGGUGGGUUGGUUCCUUUUCAUCUUUCUUUCCACUUAUAUAUACUAAAUAAUAAAAUAAUAAAAUAUCAUUUAAAAAAUCAAAUUAAAAUAUUAAUAAACUAUUAUUUAUUUAUUUAAUCUAAAAUAUCUCCAACAUCAUCAUUAUCUUCUAGAUUUCUGUCUCUUCUAAAUGACCAUUUUGCCCUUUAUGAUCUUUUCAAAUUCCAUCAUUGAGUCAUGACUUAAUUUGGUAAAAUUAUGAUAUAGUCCCUAGAUUAUUCCAACCUUAAAAUAUUUGCACUUUAACCCCUCAAAUUUUGAGUAUUUACUCUUGGGCAACAAAACUUUUCUCACUUUUGCGAUUUAAUCCUUUCUUGAAUUAAUAUGUCAUAAUUUACUUCUUAAUGUUGACAUAAGUCAAAAUUACCCUUUUUAUCACUUUAUUUCGUUAUUUUACUUUAUUAGGAAUAUUAUCUUAUUUUCUUACUGUAGUAAUUUUCAGGGUAUUACAUGAAAGGUAUGGUUGGGUUCAAUUUCAAGGAUCUUUUGUUAACCUAGCCCAAUAUUUUGGAUCCAGCUUGCAGCAAUACAUGCCUUCGGGGAGUCAGGCUCAAGCUGAAGUUCAGAGGUUAAUAGACCAGAUGACUUAGAUGAAAGCGAGCACAUUUGAGCAAAUUGCUCAACUUAAAGCGGAAGCAGCAUCGAGAGAAGUAGAGGCUCAAAGAAAAUAUGAAGAACUCCAGCUACAGCUUAAAGCAGAGGAAACAGCGAGGGAAGCAGAGCAAAGCAGAAAAUAUGAUGCACUCCAGUUAUAGCUUCAGAAUAUGAUGAAGAUGUUUCAGCAGUCGCAUAAUCCGCCAUCUUAGACAUUUGUUUUCUUAUUGUACGAAUAUUUUAACAUUAUAAAUUUUGAAAAUAAUAAUUUUUUUCAUUUCAUUUAUUAAUUUAGAUCAUUUAUCUUUUCAUUGGGAUUUGAAGUAUCAUUUAGAUUUGCAGUUUGGUUGGAUUUGAUGUUAUAGUAAAUUAUGUUGACAAUUCGGGUUCUAUAUAAAUGAAAAUGGGAUGUUAAAAAUCUGCUAAAGUUAGCGGUGUUUUCUCCACAAAUGCCGCUAAAGAACAUGACCUUUAACGGUGUUUUUUAGUAAAAUCGCCGCUAAAGGUCAUGUUCUUUAGUGGUGUUUUUGGGGAAGCGCCGCUAAAAGUCAUGUUCUAUAGCGGCGUUUGUGGGAAAGCGCCGCUAAAGGUCAUGUUCUAUAACGGCAUUUUUCCACAUAAACGCCGCAAAAUUUAGCGGCGUUGUCUAUAGCAGCGUAUUUUGUGGCGCAUGUAAAAAUGCUGCAAGUAGUUUAUAAGCACCGCUAUAGACCCAAAAAAAUGUCGCUAAAAACCUAUUUUGUUGUAGUGAUUCCAAGAAACUUUAAUAAAAUUGAUUGCAUCCAAUACAUUAAUCUUUUCAGGAUCUAUUUCUCCUUUCUCGGAACCUUCCAAGAAGCUAGAAUAAAAGCGACGUCGAUAAUAAAUCUUAACUGCUCUAAUACUUUUAGCAUCACAUGAUUGAAUUUUUUAAAAUGAAUUUGGAGGAAAAAAGAAUAAUUCAACGUUUCUCAAGCCUUCAAUAACCUUGGGAUGGGCUGGGCAAUUGUCUACUGUAAGCAACAUAUUUCUACUAGUCAUUCUAGCAUCAAACUAGCGAACAAGAUCUUGAAAAAUUAAUCCAGUCAUCCAUUUUUUUAUUGGCUCGAUAAUGACAGUUAAGAUUGUCAAUAUUCACAUGUUUAAAACAUCUAGGAUUAGCAAACUUAACAAUAACCCAAAAAGACACUUUAUUUGAACCAUCCCCAUUGCAACCACAGCAGUAAGUCUUUCCUAGUCUUUUUUUAGUCCUUCUAAUUGCUUUGUAGCCAGUGAAUGAUCUGCUUGCAAACGAUAAAAUAAGCCUAUUUCAUCCAUAUUAUAGAUAUCCUUCCAAUCAAUUUUUUUUUUAAUUUAGCUCAUAUUUCAGGUAAAGCAUCUUUAAUAUUCUCCUUAAUAACUUGACCACUUUCACCAAAUCUUCAAUAAGACUUAAUCUCAUGUCUUGCCUUGAACCGUUCUAGCCAACCGAUUGAGAAGUAAAAUUUGGAAUUUGCAUCACCUUACAUUUUCUAUAGAAACUCUUUUGCUUUAGUUUGAAUCAUUUCUCCAGUCAUGUUUACUUUCUCUUGAUAUUGGAGAAACCACUCAUACAAUACCUUCUCUAAUUCAGGAUAUUUGGUUGAUUUGUGCAUUUUAACAUUGCUAUUCUUUCUCUUUCGACAAAUAUUCAGAUGACUUUUUAAAAGUAUUAGAUAUUGUUGAUUGGCUAACAGAGAGAUCAAAUGUUUGCUGAACUCACUGUUGCAAAUAUUUUUGACUUGAAGAGGGAUGUUCAUUUUUGUACUCACAUAAUGCUUUUCUCAUCUCAUCUGUCAAUGUAGACUUUUUUACACCUUUCAAAUGGGAAGCCAUGGAAGAAAAGAUUAUAUGAAUUACAUUAUUUUGAUACGUACAUGUGUUUAUUUAUAAUAAAAUUUGUAAUCUAUCCAGUGAAUAUAUACGUAUUGGAUUUUGAAACCAUUAACUAUUUUUUCUUUUUGUUUACAUGAACCAAUUAAUUAACUCUUUUUUUUGUUAUAAUUAACUUUGAUUUAUUGCACCUAAAUGCAUAUUGGAUUUUGAUUAAAAAAAAUACUCAUGCAUAAAGUAUGAAAUAUUCUCUAAAAUAAUAAAUGUUAAUUUAUCGAUAAAUUAAUAAAAUAUUUAUUUAUUGAUAAACUAAUAAUCUCAAUAAAAUAAUAAUUUUUUCAGGUCUCAAGGAUAUUAUUUUAUAGAAGUUUUACCGUAUGUGUUUUGGGUUAGCAAAACUGUGAAUAAGUGUUUUUUUUUUUGUUUUUUUUAAACUGAAUUUAUAUUCCAAAUCCAAAAGAAAUAUCAUCUGAUGCAUUGUAAUCAUAGUGUAGGCUUCUUCUUCUUUUUUCAUAUAUGUGAGUUAAAAAAUUUAUUUUGCAGAGUGUAUGGUUGUAUAAUUAUUUAGCAAACUAGGCAAAAUCAGCAGGUGAAGUGUCCGACUUCAAAAACCGACGCCCCUAGAGUCCGACUUCAGUGAAGCAAGCAGGAACAACUUGAAAGUUGUAUCCUGCAGAAAUCAUCUUCCACUUUGGGCAAAGAAAGAUGAAAUGCUCAAAUAUAAAAUGGAGUAAUAUCAUGAUAUUCCCUGAAUGUUUAUCAAAAUUUUUAUAGUCUAUCCAGUUUAAAAUUUAUCAAAAUUUCGAUAUGAUCUCUCCACUUGCAAAUUAUAUUUUAAAAUAGUAUGUUAUUUUCUAAAUUAAAAAAAUAAAAAAUUAAAUUAAAAAAUAUUAUAGGAAUUAAAAAAUAUGAAAAAUAUUACAAUUACUUUUAAAAUAUGGGAAUUUAUAAUUUACUAGUUAAAGAAAUUAUAGUAACAAUCUUAAAUUAAAACUUAUAUGUUGCUUUUAAACUUAAAAAGUAGUUUUAAUAUUGGUAUAUUUUUACGAAUAAUAAAAAUUACAAAAUUAUAAUUCAACUCCCAAAUUUUUAAUAUUUUAAAAGAUAGUAGUAUAUUAUUUCUUAAAAAAUGAAUAAUCACUUGCUAGAAAAAUUUGAAGAUGAAUAAAGCAAUAAACUUUAAUAUUUUGAAAUACCUAUUUAUUAAUAUUGAAAAAUAACAUCCUAUUUUUAAAUAUAAUUUUAAAGUGGUGGAUUAUAUUGAAAAUUGUAUAUACAUUCACAGGCCAUUUAUGAUGUAAUGUGAACUGUCAUCAUUUUCUAAGGGCGGCAUCUCAUUUGAAAGUGAUUCUUCAAUCUAAAAAUGGAAUAAAAUCAUAAAUGACCCUUGAAUGUAUAUCAGAUUUUUAAUAUAGUCCAUCCAAUUUAAAAUUAUAAUUCUGUAAUUUUUAUUAUUAGUAAAAAAUUACCGAUACUAAAACUACUUUGUAAGUUUAAAGUAACAUAUAGGUUUCAGUUUAAAAUUGUAACUAUAAUUUCUUUAACUACUAAAAUUUAAAUUCCGAUAGUUUAAAAGUAAUUGUAUUUCAAUAUUUUAUUUUUUUUAAUUCUUAUAAUAAUUUGAAUUUAAAUUUUUAGUUUUUUUAAUUUAGAAAAUAACAUACUAUUUUAAAAUAUAAUUUGUAAGCGGAGAGACCAUAUCAAAUUUUGAUAAAUUUUAAAUAAACAAAAAAAUCAUUAUUUUUUAAAUAAAAAAUCAUUAUUUUUUGUCACAAUUUUAAAUUAUUAUUGUGAAUUUUACUACUAAUGUUUUUCUCUAAUUUCAACAAAAAUAUAGUGUAUAAUAUUUAUAAUAGAUCAUCUGUAAUUCUGAGUGACUUUUAGAUUAAAUAGAGUUAAAAUAUUUUUUUAUAUUAAACUCUUUUUAGUUUAUAAGAUUAAAAAUAGAUAAAAUAAUAUUUUUAUAUUUUUUAUUCUAUUUUAAAUGAAUUAAUUAAUUUUAUUUAUUUAUUGCUUAUUUUUUUCUUAUGAAAUAUUUUUGUUUAUUUAUUGUUUUUGUUAAUUGCCUUUAUUUUCUUACCGUUAUCAAAUAAAAAGAUAGAAACUAAAUAAUAAAGAAAAUGGGAGAGUAAAGAGAAAAUAUGUUUUAUUGAUCAAUUGGAAUUUUUACAAUGCUUCUCCAAAGUCUCUAUUAAUAGGCAUAAGAAGUAUAAAUGAAGUAGAGAUCUAAUUUUAAUGACUACUAGAAUUUAAAGUACAUCAAAGCUUAUCUUGAUCUUGAUGGACAUCCACUUAAUAAUAUAUUCAUAACACUCCCUCUUAUUAUGUCCAUUGGUUGAUAAUGUGUCUCGUUAAAACCUUACUAAGAUAAAAACUUUGUAGGAAACAAAUUCCCGGUGAAGGAAAAAGAGUACACAUAUCUAUAAUACGCAUAAUAAUGCUGCCUCAUUAAAAAACUUACCAGGAAAACCUAAUGGGACAAAACCUCGGUUAAGGGAAAAGUAGUGCAGCGUGUACUUACUCCCCCUCAUGAAAACAUCACAUACUUUCUCAUAUUCUACGUAUUCAAUCUUGAAUACUAGUUUUUCAAAUGGCUAUUUGAAUGUAUUUGCUAAGCAUUUAUAUCACCAUUCUUUUGAAAGUCAUGAGUGAGGGAAAAUUUGGGGGAAAUACAUUUUGAUCUCUUUAGGAGUUUCAACAAUAAUCAUAGCAAAAUUUAAUCAUGAUUGUUCUAUAAAAGUACAAAUAAGUAUUUUUGAUCAUUUUAUAAUCCUUAUUCAACUACUAUUCAGUAUGUCAAAUUUACCACAUAUGUCCAAAUUAUUUCAAUUCAGAUAAAUGAACAAUUUCCCUAGAAUUUCAAUAUGCUUCUGCCAUACUAAAUCCUUCAAGGAUUUUAAUAUAACCUUUACUAUAUAGUGAUUCAUAAAAAGUUGUAACAACAACCAUUAGACGAAAGUUAAAUAUUUUAUGAACUGUCAGUUUAAUAAUAUAUCUAAAGGUUAUUGCAUCCACCACAAAAAAAAAUCUUAUAUCCUUUCAUAAUCAAUAUCAAGGCUUAGCGAAAAACUUAAUAUUUUUAUUCCGCUUUUGCAAAACUACUUCAUUUGUACCCUCACUAGCUUUAUACCUUUAAGUAUUUAGACUACCGAUAAAAAAAAACCCCACAAAUUUAAUUGUACUUGAGUUGUGUCUUUCUAUUUUGAAAAAUCUAUUCCAUAUCUAUAUUUCUUAAUAGCUUUUUUUCAAGAUUCUCUUUUUAUUUCAUGAUUUCAACAAUAAUAUUGCAUGCAAAACCAUUAUUGACCACUUUUAUUAUUGGUUCAACAUUUUCUUAAAUUGACAUAACUUAUCAAAAUCUCUAAUUUUCACUAUUUUAAUCUUCAGUUUCAGGUACCUGAAUCUCUUUUGGAAGUUUACUUAUUAGUUAUGUCUUGGGUCUCUUCUGGAGCACCCAUAUUCACUAUAUGACCAUGUAGAUUUAUCAUUUUCUUUUAUAAGAAUUUUUAUAUUUAAAACUUGUAAUGAGUUAUCCUUGUCGAACUUCUGGUUCAAAUUACUCUCUCCCUAACUCAUUACGAGUUAUUAUCUAUCUUCCCCUAAUGUCAGGAAAACUAUCGAAUCAAAAUAGUAAUCACAAAUCAUUUAAUAAUUGAAUCUUCAAUACAUUCAAAACAUCUAAUAAUACAAUAAGACUUGUAAUUAAUAUAUAUUCCCAACUUUCUUUGAGGAUUCACUCAUAUUUGUGCGUUGUGAUGGAGCAAUUAGAACAUAUAUGCAUAUACAAAAAUUCAAAGAUGAGAAAUAUUUAGCUCUUGACUAAAAAACCAAUUGUAAUGGGGAAUAUUUAUAACUUAUUGGCUUGACACGUACAACACAUAAAUCAACACAAUCUCAUGUUGAAAUAGGAAGUUUAGUUCUCAUAAGUAAUGGUUUAAAUAUUAAUCAAAUGCGUUCAAUCAAUAAUUUUUCUAAAGUUUUAUGCGCAAAAAUAACAAGCUUAACACCCCAAACCCGGCCUAGACGUUAUGGCCCUAUCUGGUGCGUCACAUCAAAGUGUCUCUCAAAAAUUUGGCUUGUUGACAAACUUGUUUCUUAUUUUUGGAAACCUCUUUUUAAUAUCUAACGGGGCAUUUAUUCAUAUGCUUACCUUGUUAACUGCUUCUUGUUGUAUUAAGUUGAUUUAAAACGCGGAAGCAUUUUGAAAACUCUAACAUUUAAAGCUCGUGUCUUUGAAAAUAGUAAUCAUUUUGAAAAUCCAUUUUCAAAUAACUAGUAUAAAAUAUGAAAGUAAAAACCCAAUUAAAAUUUAAAACCAAAUAAAAUGUCUUAUUACAAAACAAAACCCAACUUAUUAAUUAAAAUAAAAAUAAAAGAUAAAGUGAACAGCAGUGAUUGGGUGGCCACCUCCGAGUCCCUCGCUGCACCAAACCGCCUAUGGCUGAGGAUUACCUACACAAUUAGAAGAAAGGGUGAGUUUACAAAAACUCAGUGUGUAAUCCUCUACCAAACAAUUAGCAUACAACAUGCAGAAUCAGUUUGGGCUUGAGCCCUAUAUAGUAGUAGUGUGUAGGCCAUAACCCAAUACAGUAACAGAGUGUGGCCCUUAGCCCAAUACAGUAACAGUGCAAAUGCAGUAAUACAACCCAUCCCAAUCCAGCCAACACACCACUCCGUACCACCAACACACCAUGUGGGGAUAAAAUUGACCCACCCAGCCAACACACCAGUAUCGCAGCAGAGCUGCCAGUAAUAGUAACGCAGCAAAGCUACCAGUACAGUAAUGCAGUAGAGUUACCAGUAUCAGUAACACAACAAAGCUGCUAGUAACACUAUUUAUAGUAAAUCCACCAGUACAGUAUACUUCCCCUAUAUAAAAAUCUCAACCCUAUGCAGUAUGUCGUGUCAUAGAUCAUACGUGUAUGUAAUAUGUCAUACUCAGUAACAGUCAUAUAAAUAUCACAAAGCAAAAUGGUCAGACAUAGCAUAAGGCCAUAACAGUCAUUUCAUCUCUUAGGGGUAUAACGAUCAUUUUACCCUAUAGGGGUAUUCUGGUAACUUUACCCAUCGAGGGUAUUUCAGUAAUUUUACCCUUCGAGGGUAUUUCAGUUAUUUUACCCUUCGAGGGUAUUUCGGUUAUUUUACCUAUCGAGGGUAUUUCAAUAAUUUUACCCAUCGAGGGUAUUUCGAUAAUUUUACCCAUCGAGGGUAUUUCGGUAUCUUUACCCAUCGAAGGUAUUUCGGUAUCUUUACCCAUCGAGGGUAUUUCGAUAAUUUUACCCAUCGGGGGUAUUUUGGUCAUUUUACCCAUUAAGGGUAUUUUAGUCAUUUGCCCACGAAUCGCACGUAGGGCUCACGACUCGAGCGAUCGCAUGCCCAUGUAGUCUCAAACGCCGUGUUCAUGGCUUUUCGACUUUUACCGAUUUGCAGUUGAGUGAGGGUGUGAUUACACACCUUUUCAUGAAAGCUAGCGAAAUACCUCUUGGCACCAACCUACGUUGAUUUGAAUAUUCGGUCAGCCCUUCAAUAACCAAUAUUUUCAAGUACUUAAACCACACUUAAACAAUCAUCACCUACUACAAUUAUAAGAAAUAUGGCUUGCUCUUCUAAGAUUCUUAGCCAAGACACGAUCCUUUCAACCAUCUCAAAAUCGAACAAAUAAUUCGGCACCUUCCUUUCAACCCUCUCAAAAUCGAACAAAUAAUUGCCUUGUGCCGAAAAUGCUCCAUUCCUUUCCCCUUAGCCGAAUUUCACUAAGCCUUAGAGUCCCAAUCGGCCAUAACACCCUACCAACCUCUCAGUUACACAACACGCCACCUUGCCACUAGAUUACAAGCUAUUUUUGGGUCAUAAAAUAGACACUAAUAUUUAUAAGGCCUAAACGCCACUGUCCAGAUUCAAUUAAGAGCAAAACCAAAAAUUUUGCAGAAGCCAAGACUUGAACCCCUGACGUCUAAGACACUUCCUAACACUCCUAAAUCACUUAACCACUGAAGCAGACAUUCAUUUAUGUCACUUUCUUACACAACUAAAUAUUUAUGUGCAGUCUUCUAACUGUUCCCUUGUUCAAAACCUAUUUCUUCUAGGCCCAAAAUUUGAGGUGUUACAUGUGUUUUAGCCCUGGCAGCUUCAAAGUUCUGUGUUGCGACAUGGGCCUUCUUGUGUCGCACACAGUUGUUGUCUCUUGUGCUCCUUGCCCUGAAAUAGCACCAUACACACUCAAAUGGCCUACUAGUUAUUCCCGAGGCCUAGUUGGCCUAAUGGGUCGUCAAAACACUAAAAACAUGCUUAAAAUGCUUAUUUUGCAAUAAUUUGAAUAUAAGCUACGAAAUAGGAAAAUGCAAUAAAAGAAUAUAAAAUACUUAGGAAAUAAGCGUUAAUUUCCAAAUAUUACUUAAUUUUCCACUGCAAUUUGUGGCAAAUCAAUAUUUUAUGAACUCACUAAACAAUGUUACAAAGACCCUUUAAAUAGGAUAAUUUUGGAGUGUUAAUAUGACUAAAAUGUCUUAGAUUAGUCUGAGUUUAAUUGGGGAAAGAUACUAGAUUUUUACUAGGAGAAAAGACCUGAUUCAUGUGCGAACACGAAGCCACGUCAUGACGUCGUUUAUUGGCUCAUCGUACUUCGGAUCCAAACUCUUGUUGAUUUUCAAGAUUUAAUUCCAAAAAAUUUUUGUCGAUGAUACAUUGGUCGUACGAAUCAAAAUUGGAGACAUCAUGUACGACCUCUUCCAAUGGAGUACCCACUUGGGAUUUUUUUCAGAAAAACUCCUCUAAUUGAUCCAACCAUUGUAGGAUUCUCUUUGAUUUGGCUUGGAAUUCUUGCUCAUUACUUUCCUAUUCCGAUGCAUAAUCAUAUGAAUCAUAAGGAUUUUCGUCUAACUAUUCAGAUGUUCCCAGUUGUUGCUCAUCUAUCUUUUCCAACGAAGUUAUUGUUUCGUUUCUUCGUUGGUAAAGCUCUAGCAUAAGCACUUUUUGGUUCUCCAUAAUCCCCCGUUGUUUGUAUACUCCUUCCUCAUAUAUUUCAUCUUCAUCCCAAGGGUUCAUCGAACAUCUAUUCCUCUCAGUUAUAUACUUGUUCGGCUUAGGUGGGAGUUCGUUAUAACACUCAGAUUACUCAUCUUUAUAAUUACAAAUCCAUUAGUUUGUCAAAUCUCCGUACAACCAACUCAGUUUGGAUUGCUCAUACACCGACCUAUAAAUAUCAAUAUUCAUAAUUAAAUCUGAUAAUCAACAAAGUAAAAAAAUAUAUCAAAGUAAAAAUAUUUACUUAACUAAAAAAUUCAAAAUAAUUAAUUUUUUUCAAACAAUAAUUAAAUUAAAUUAAAUUAAAUUAAAUCAAAUUAAAGUUAGAACACUAUCAAGCUAGUUCGUAUUUCGAUUAAUAUUAUUUUACAGUAAUCAACCUAAUAAAAAUUUCACCAUCGCAAUCCCCGAAAAUGACUUCAACAACUUUAUUGCCUAUAAAUGUGUUAUCGUUUAUAGUAAAAAUAGCACACCAAUAUAUAUAAUUAGAAUGGCAGUGUUCGCAAGCGUAUGAGUCAAAUUAUAAUAAAGUAUUGUGUUACAAUGGAACACUGGUAAGUAUUCUGAGGAUCACAUCCAAGGGAUUGCAGAUUGGAGAAACUAAUAUUAAAUUAAUUAUAGAAAAUAAUUACAAAUCUAAUCGAGUCACGAAUUAGAAGUGUGAACCCAAAUUAAUAUUUUAAUUAAACUAAUUAAAUUAACUAACAUAAAUUAACCCCAUGGAUUUUCUUAUCCCUAGUGUCGAGAAUGCGAGCCCCUCGUUUAUGAUCAAUUAAAUCUCUAAGUAUCUAAUUAAAUAAUUAAUUAUCCUAGAUUGAGUUAUUUAUCACCUUUAGCUAAGAAUACCCUCCCUGUUCAUCUUCACUAAAUAUUACCACCUAAGUCAUCCUUCCAGUCUCUUCCUAAGUAUACAAAUACCCUUCCGGUCUCAUCGCUCGACACAAGUUAUUCACGAUAGGAUACCUCUCAGUCUCACCUAUCUCGAUAUUCAGUUAGGGCUCUCAUUCCCUAAUAUACUAUGUGCUAUUAAAGAAAUAACCAAUUUUGUAUAAAGAAUUACUUAAUAAAUAAAUUAAGUUAUUAAUUGAGUCAUACGAGAUAUGAAAUAAGCACAAUAAUCUAUUCUAAUAUUUAUACAACAAUUAAUCAAAAGAUAAAUAAAAGAAUAGACAAAUAAAAGAUAGGAGAAGGUCAUGAAUAUAUAUUGAAGCGUGAUCCCAAAGCAAUCUCUACUUGCAAUUGUCUUCACAUCGAAAUAGAAAAGUUUUGACUACAUGAACAUGAAAAGAAAAGAAAAGAAAACCAAAAACUGAAUAGAAAAGUUGUCUGUUUAGGUUUGCCCCCAAUUCCGGUGACCCUAAGAUUGCUCAUAUAAGGAACUAGCUACUUGGUGGUCAUUCAACCCAAGAUACACUUAGAUACUAAUAAAUAAAAUAUUGUGCUAAAAGUUAGGGUCCAAAUAUAGAAAUUUCCCAAAAGUGUUGUCCAAGGAAUCAACCAUAUUUUGGCCUGCCAUCGUUGCAUCGCCAGGAUGUGGGAGUGCUCCUCGUCACGAUGUCGCCACCAUGAAUUGCCUCCCGUAAUCAUCACCUCGUCGUGACAAGAGGAAGCUCCUCGUCAGGAUGUCAAGUGCAUGCUGAGUCUUUGGUAGCUUAGUUGGCUUAUCAGGCUCCUUGUCUCAUGACCCAAUCAUCAUUCCUUGUAUUCUUGGAUAUCAAUUGACAUUCUGCACACUUAAUAGCUCAUUAAUCACUCAUAAGGCCUGAGUCGGCCUUACAGGUCAUCGAAAUAGCAAAAAAUGUGUAUAAACGCUUAUUUUAUUAACUUUUAGCUCCUAACCUACUAAUACCAAAAAUGUAAUAUUUAAUUAUAAAAGUGCUAGAAAGCAAACUUGUUAAAUGCAGAAAUGACAUAAAAUAAAUACUACAUUUGACGUCAGGUCACACCCCCCACAAAUUUCCACCUUGACUCAUAUUUACCAUGUCUUUUUUUCCAAUGCCCAUCAUGGGCUUAACUUGAUCUUUUUAGGAUAUUAAUCAAGUCCAAGCAGUGCUUGAACGUUGCAACUAGAAGGCUUCAAGUUUCUUGAACUGUCAAAUCAAAGUUCACUCGUGUCAGUUUCCCAUAAAUUUAGCGCUCUAUCUUUCCAACUUCUGCACUAUGUAAAGAACCUCUCAUAUUCAAGACGGUCAUACAUUUUUCACUUAUAUGACCAAGUUACCGAUGCCUCAAAUGAGUCGAUUUUGACUCCGUAACAGACAAGGAAAUUAUUACUUUACCAGUCACUGUUGAACUUUGCAUAACAUAAAGAUUACCAGUCUUUUAACCUCCCAUGUAACACCCUAAUUUUUGGGGUUAGAAGAUUUGAGAUUUGUGAUAGGGUUAGUGGCUAGAUGAUACAUUUGAGAUUCAUUUCACGUUUUGAUAUUAGAACGGGCUUGCUGGUCUAGUGGUUGGUGGAGUGUUAGUGUACUUUAGGUUCUGUGUUCGAACCCUCAUAGGUGUGUUUGGGGAAUUACUUUUAGUAUGGUUUUAUUUUUUUUCAAAAGUUAGUUAUUUAUUUUUAUUUUUUAUUUAAUUUUAAUUUUAAUUUUAAUUUUAGAAAACUAGAAACAUUUCACGUUUGUUUUUCCAAAAAAAUCUCUCUGCACAUUUUUUCUUUAUUCUCUCCCUCUCCUCUCACGUUAAUUUUUAUCCUUGAGUUUUCUUACUCCGUCGUUUUGUUCUUGCACCAUAUUCAUCUUCAAUCAUUAUGGUUCAUCAAUGAAGUUUGGUUGCUUAUGUUACAAAUCAGGUGUGGGUUCGGAACUCUUCUUUUUCAUUUUUCAAAUUCUAUGUUGAUUCUGGGAAAUUUGACUAAAUGUGUGUGUUUGGAAACUCUAUAAAUUUGAUGUUGAAUUACUGAUUUGAUUCUAUGAAAUUUGACAAACUCAGUGUGGUCUAAAAUUGGUAAAAACUAGAAUUGAAUAGUAUGUUUUCGAUAUAAUUUGGUAUCUUACUGAGUUACCAAGGGUUUGGGAAUUAUUUCGGCAACAAAUGCACGUUCUGUAGCUUGUUCCGAUGUGGUUUCGCGACUACACGAGUGGCCACACAGGCGAUUCAUACAGCUGUGUACAGUUGGGAAUUAGGGUUUUUGGGCAAAUUUUGGUGCCACACGACCAUGUGGCUAAAUUUGAAGAUUUUAGUCGACUUCUACAUAGUCGUGUCCCGUGGGCACAAGGGCGAGUGCAUUUGGGGAUUUUGGGAUUUUUUCUUAUCUUACACGAGCAUGUGUUUUGGACACACGACCGUUUUUGGUGGGCACACGAGUGUGUAAGACCCUCACACGGCCAUUUUUUCCCUAUACAUUAAUUUUAGCCAUUCUGGACAAAGAGUUACACAGUCGAAUCACACGGCCAUGUCCUUAGGUCACGAGGGAAUGUGGCUUAGUCACACAGCUGUGUACCUCCUUUCACAUGGGUUUGCGCCCCUCCACAUAGGCGUGUUGACCCCUACAUGGCCUAGGCUUUUCUACAUGACCGUAGCACACAAUUGUGUUGCCCUAUCUCGUAUAUUUUUGUACUAUAUUUAUUUUUAUCCAAUAAUGUUUCUGUGUGUCUCGACCCUUAUCUAAGUCUUAGUAAGGGUGCUCAGGACUUCAUUUUAGCCUAGAUUUGUGUGUAAGUCAAAAUCAUAGCUUAAAUUGAUUGAUUUUUUGUGAGCUAAUGGAUGUUGUGCAAUAAAAGAUUCUGUAUCUUAUCAAUUGAGUAUGUGUUUUUCUGAAUCUGUCUAACUGUCUGCGAUGUGUUCAUCAUUUCUGUGAGAUUGUUCGCAUACAUGCAUUUGUAUAAAUGUUUGGGUUGGGAUUUGAAGAGAAAGAACUCUGAUCUGAUUUGGCAGUUUUAACUGCAACAUGUCUGUAUAGUGGUUUACUGCAUAGUAAUACUUCUGGCAGCUCAACUGCAUACUAUUAUUUACGUGGCUUAGUUCCACAUACGUGGUGUGUAAGGUUGGAUGGGUCUUUCAAGGUCCUGUGUGGUGUGCAUGGUUGGUUGAGCUUCUUAUUACUCAUUCGUGGUGUGAAUAGGGGACGAAGAGGUGUUUUGCUGCAUAAGUGGGAUUGCUCUUCUGUAUGUGCAUACAUAUCAUAUUUCAUAUGUCUGUAGGAUUGCGUGAUUAAUUGCGUAAAGGUUGUGUGCUUGAUGUAUUUUGUACCUGUGUGUAAUGAAUGAUAACUUUGUAAUAUGCCCUUCUUUUUAGCUGGUUGUUGAAAUGGGUUGUUUCGUACACCGAUCGAAUUCUUGUAUAGUUGAGUAUCUACUUUGAAAUGUUGCCCUUGAUUUUGUUUCUGCUAUUGAACUGUUAUUUGGAAUUCUGUUUUGUAAGUCUGUCAUUUGUUGCGUUACGAACUCACACUGAGCUAGGGUAGCUCACCCCUCUUAGUUUUCCUUUUUUAGGUAUAUUCGUCUUCUGUAGCUGGACUAGGCACGCCGAAUGUCUUGGACAGCCUCGUUUUAGAACAGGUUAUAAAAGUAUUUUCAUAAAUUCUUAGUUUAUAAAUAAACAGUUUUGAAUUGUGAUUACUAUUUAGAAUACUAUGGUAUGAAUUUUUGUAAUAUCGAGAUUUUAUAAUUAGGAGUUUUUAUGUAACUUAAAUACAGACUUAUUUUCCAGUUUGUGAAACUAAAAAUAAUUUCAGUUCACUUUGGUGAUCAAUGUGACCUCUGAGAUUCGUUCUAAACUUCUAGGUCGGGUUCUGGGGUGUUACAUUUAGUGAUAUCAGAGCCAGGUUUGAAAAAACUUGGCCUCUGUUUUUACAUAUCCGUGUGCACGGGAGAUUGUUUUAAAAAAACAAUCGUAUCACAGUGCUUUCAAAUGGUUUGUGUUUUGGAAUAAGUUUUUGUAAGAAUACUGUGGUAUGAAAUUUUGUAAUAUCAGGAUUUUAUAAUUGGGAGUUUUUACGUAACUUAAAUACAAACUUGUUUUCCAAUUUAUUAAACUAAAAAUAAUUUUAGUUCACUUUGGUGAUCAAUGUGACCUCUGGGAUUCGGUUUAAACUUCUAGGCCAGGUUCUGGGAAAUAGUAAGAAGUCUGAGACUCUGAUGCCAGUCUGUACGAAACUUGGGAAUUUGUAAGAUUAGUUCUGUAAACUUAGAACUGCAAUAUUUAGACAUUUAUGCUUGCGUUUGAUUUUGGAAAUUUUAGAUUCUUUGAGAUUAGAUACAAGAUCGAUACGGAUUUUGAAGGUAAGCAAGAUUGCGAGGAUCAAUUCGGUGAGACUUUCAAGGAGUCGUCUACUUCAUCAAGAUGUGUGCUUAUUCAAGAGUCGAAAGUCAAUGCAAUUUUUCCAACUUCGGGUAGCGAUAACCUGGAGCUUAGUAUUGAGGCAUUGACUCAGGUAGUGAGAGAAGUGCCAGAACAAGUGCUCAAUGCUAGGUUAGACAGGCAUAGAAAGCUAGUGCAAAGCAGGUGUGUAGAUUGUGGGAAGAAGAGAGAUCGCAAUCCUUCGAGGUUGGAGACUUAGUCUAUGAAGCAUAAGAGAACACAUUUGAGUAACAAUAAAUGUAUUGCAGAGGGUGCUGGUGGUGGUAUGAGCGUUCCAUUUUGUGAGCACUGUAAGAAGCACCAUCCGGACAAUUUUUGGAAAAAAGUAAGAGCGUGUCUUUAAUGCGGGUCCACAAAACAUUAGAUCUAGGAAUGUCCUCGACGACAUUGAAAUAGGUAUGGGUGUAAGUUAUUUGUCAUUGUAUGUUGUUACUGAGAAUGAUUCGUUCGACUGUUCGUUGGAUAACAUUUGUGUGGGUGUGAUGAAUAAAUAUGUAUAUGCUUCAUUUGCUAAGUGUUCUGAUUGUGUGUUUGAGGUCUUAAGUUUGGUAUGGUACUGCUAGGGUUGGAGUGCACAACGGAAGCGUAGUGGUAGACCUAGGGUUAAGUUACUGUUCUGUUAGUGGGAAAUUUUGAGGAUGAAAUUUCUUUAAGGAGGGUUGAGUUGUAACACCCCGAUUUUUAGGGUCAGAAGAUUUGAGCUUUGUGAUAGGGUCAGUGGCUAGAUGGUACAUUUGAGUUUCAUUUCGCAUUUUGAUGUUAGAAUGGGCCUGUUGGUCUAGUGGUUGGUGGAGUGUUAGUGUACCUUUAGGUUCUAUGUUCGAACCCUCAUAGGUGUGUUUAGGGAAUUACUUUCAGUGAGGUUUUAUUUUGUUUUUCAAAAGUCAGUUAUUUAUUUUUAAUUGUUAUUUUAUUUUAAUUUUAGAAAACUAAAAACUUUUUACGUUUAUUUUUCCCAAAAAAAUCUCUCCGCACAUUUUUUUUCUUUCUUCUCUCCCUCUUUUCUCACGUUAGUUUUUUCCCUUGAGUUUUCCUGCUCCGUCGUUUUGUUCCUACACCAUAUUCGUCUUCAAUCGUUGUGGUUCAUUAUUGGAGUUUGGGUGCUUAUCUUGCAAAUCAGGGGUGGGUUCCGAACUCUUCUUUUUCAUUUUUGAAUUUCUGUGUUGAUUCUGGGAAAUUUGACAUAAUAUGUGUUCAGAAACUCUAUAAUUUCAAUGUUGAAUUAUCAAUUUGAUUCUGUGAAAUUUGACAAAUUCUAUGUGUUUUGAAAUUGUUAAAAAUUAGCAUUGAAUCGUAUGUUUUCGGCAUAAUUUGGUAUCUUGUUGAGGUACCAAAGGUUUGGAAAUUUUUUUGGCAAUAAAUGCACAUUCUGCAGCCUAUUGCAUGUGGUUUCAUGACCAAACGGGUUGCCACACAGGCGUCUACUGUACACGAGCGCUUCAUAGGGCCGUGUGCAAUUUGGAAUUAGGGUUUUUGGGCAACUUUUGGUGCCACACGGCCAUGUGGCUGAAUUUAGGGGUUUUAGUUUACUUCCACACAACUGGGUCCCCUAGGCACACGGGCGUGUGUAUUUAAGGAUUUAGGGAUUUUUUUCUUAUCUCACACGGGCGUGUGUUUUGGACACACAGUCGGGUCUGGUGGGCAAACGGGCGUGUGAGACCCUCACACAGCCGUGUUUGCCCUGUACCUUGAUUUUAGUCAUUAUGGAUAGAGAUUUGCACGGUCAGAUCGCAUGGCCAUGUCCUUAGGUCACACGGUCGUGUGCCUCCUUUCACACGAGCGUGUCCCCCUCCACAUGGGCGUGUUGACCCCCACACGGCCGUAGCACACAGUCGUGUCACCCUAUCUCGCAAAUUUUUGUACUGUAUUUGUUUUUAAUCUGAUAAUGUUUCUGUGCGUCCUGACCCUUAGCUAAGUCUUAGUAUGGGUGCUCGGGACUCUAUUUUGGCCUAGAUUUCUGCGUAAUUUGUAAUCAUAGCUUAAAUUGAUCGAUUUGUUGUGAGCUAAUGGAUGCUAUGCAAUAAAAGAUUCUGUAUCUGAUCAAUUUAGUAUGUGCAUUUUUUAUUCCGUCUGACUGUCUGUGAUGUGUUCAUCAUUUCUGUAAGAUUGUUCACAUACAUGCAUUUGUAUAAAUGUUUGGGUUGGGAUAUGAAGAGAAGGAAGUCUAAUCUGAUUUCGUAGUUUUAACUGUAACACAUCUAUAUAGUGGUUUACCGCACAGUACGAUACUUCUGGCAGCUCAACUACAUACUGCUAUUUACGUGGCUUAGUUCCACAUGCGUGGUUGUAGGGUUAGAUGGGUUUUUCGAGGUCCUAUGUGGUGUGCAUGGUUGUUGAGCUUCUUAUAGCUCUUUCGUGGUGUGAAUGGGGGACGAAGAGGUGUUUGGCUUGAUGGGUGGGAUUGUUAUUUUGUAUGUGCAUACAUAUCACAUUUGAUCUAUUAGUAGGAUUUCGUGAUUAAUUGCGUAAAGGUUGUGUGCUCGAUGUAUUUUGUACCUGUGUGUAAUGAAUGAUAACUUUGUAAUGCGUCCUGGCUUUUAAUUGGUUGUUGAAAUGGGCUCUUUCGUACACCGAUUGAGUUUUUGUAUAGUUAAGUAUCUACUUUGAAACGCUGCUGUUGAUUUCGUUUCCGCUAUUGAACUGUUAUUUGGAAUUCUAUUUUGUAACUCUGCCAUUUGUUACGUUUUGAAUUCACACUGAGCUAAGGUAGCUCACCCCCUUAGUUUUCCCUUUUUAUGUUUUUACGUCUUCUGUAGCUGGACUCAACACACCGAAGGUCUCGGAUAGCCAUGUUUUAGAACAGGAUAUAAAAGUUUUUCAUAAAUUCUAAGUUUAUAAAUAAACAGUUUUGAAUUGUGAGUACUAUUUAGAAUACUGUGGUACAAAUUUUUGUAAUAUCAGGAUUUUAUAACUGGGAGUUUUUACGUAACUUAAAUACAGUUUUGUUUUCCAAUUUGUUAAACUAAAAAUAAUUUCAGUUCACUUUGGUGAUCAAUGUGACCUUCGAGAUUCAGUCUAAACUUACAUCUCAUCAGAAGAAGAGCUUCACGAGAUACCUUAAUGUUGCUUGACUCGAUGGUGAUCCUACAACCUAUCAAGUCUAAUUUUCUUAAGGAGAUGAGGUUCUUUUUCAAGUCAGGCACAUGCCUGGCAUCUGAUAGUAACAUAAUGAUUUCGUCGUGCAUCAUAAUCUAAAUAGUGCCAGUAUUGAUUACCUUACAUGGUGAAUUAUUCCCCCAUAAGCACAACUCCACCUUGAACUAGACUAUAUAUGGAGAACAAGUCAUUGUUUGGACACAUAUAGAAAGAACACCUUAAAUCCAGAAUCCACUCGUGUAGCACCCUAUACCUGGCCUGGUCGCCAAGCCGAAAUAUGGGAUGCCACACCACCGUCUUAUGUCAUAUACAAUAAGUAAAAGUUCAACCUACAGGAAGCAUCAUCCAUCUUAGUAUUCGUAUUGGUUUUAGGUCAAUUAUACUUGUUAGUUAUCAAUGUUACAUGCUAACCAUACAUCAAAUAGUGUUAUAAUAAUAAUUAAACAUGCAUAAGGUCCAUUUAACAAAAUCUAAAAACUGUCACGUAGGUAUCGAUACUGACACUAGGGUAUCGAUAUUUCCUUUAAGUGGUAUCGAUAUCAACUAGAAAAAUAAUACCAAACUUGCAUUAUGUUUCUCGAUUAAAAACCAAAGUCUCAAAAAUUAUUCGUACCUGUCUUAAAGUAUCAAUAAAUUUACCCCGAGUAUCGAUACUCGAGAAAAGGUAUUGAUACCAUAUCUUUAUUCUAACUUCGUACACAUUUCAAAACACAAAGGUAUUGAUUUUAAAACUUGAUUAUUGAUACCUCUGUUACAAACCUCAAAAAUGCAGCAUACAUAUGCAAUUAAUCCAUUCCAAUUUAGUUCCUAAAUGUCAUACAUCAAUUACUUUGACAAAUAAUCAUUCAACAACCUAAUUAACUGUUCAAUAUUGCAAAAUCGUGUUCGAGCAAGUAACGUCAAUCCAUUAUCAUUUUCAUGAACUCAAGCAUAAUAAUAACAUGUAAUCCUGAAAAAUCGAACCAAAGACCAGCAAAAUGUCUAGAAGUUAACAUGGCUAUAAACAAGUCUACCACAUUGCCUUUUUUCCCCAAAACUUAAAUAAAUAUAGAACACCUACGAAAUAACGCAAAAGUCUUGCUUAGAUCACCUCCCGGAACCACACCGCUCACACUGGCACACAAUUAAUUUGCAAUGGUUAGAGAAGGGAGUGGGUGAGCUUAACAAGCUCAAUGAAUUCCUAAAACAACUACCACGCAAAUAGUUCAUCAAGCAUUAACGAAACAACCAUAUAGCAUAGACUUAAUAGUUCCAACUUUAGUGUUAUAAUAUACUUACUUGUGCAUUAUUAUUAGUUCUUUUACAUGGUAAUCAUAUUCAUUUCUAAGCAUAUAUCCUAUUACACAUAUAAUCACCUAUCAUUCAAGCAUAUAUCACAAUAUUCAAAAGCAUGUUUAUAGAUAAAUUACAUAAUGGUCACAUACUCAUUUAGGCAUACAUCAUGUUACACAUAUGUACAUUUUAAGAUAAUUUGACACUUGAGUUAUGAAACAUAAAAGUGAGUUCUAUCAUCACUCAUUGGAUACGCGGAUCUCCAACACACCAAACAUAGACUUAUAAAGUCAAACAUGUCCCUAAAGUGAAGCAUAAAGCUAAUGCUCUCUUAUUUCCCCUUUUAUGUCCCGUUGAAUGGAUGAUAGCUCACAUUCCUUUAUCCCUCAAACAUGUCUCAAGGCCUCAACACCCAAAAUCACUAUACAUAUAGGUGAGUCCUCACAAUCCUAUGGCAUGCCAACUAUAUCCAACGGUUUCAAGAUCAUAAGGCCAAAAUAUCCAAAGUCAAACACAUAUCACUUACCGAUUAUUCAUGUAUAAUCACUGCAGAUUUGCAUCUUUAGCAACACACUAUCACUAACAUUUAACAUAUGCAUGUUAUACUCUCACAACAUUUAUCAUAACCACAUAUCACAUUUUAUAGCAUCUCAUCUCAAUUCACAAGAUAACGUAGGUAUGAGAAAGCUUACACUCAAAAUUUAGAGUAGGGAUUUAGGCUACUACUAAAUUCCCAAAUAAUGAAUCAUGUCCACGAGUAAUUAUUCCAAACACUCACCAAUUACGCUUUUGCCGAAAAACCGAAAGCUUAAAACUAACUUUUCCUUACCUUUAUCUCUAAUCAUAGAACUUCAACACAACAAACUCACACAACAAUACAUCAAAAAAUUAGUCAAUGACUUAUUACAAGCAUACAAAACAUAAGCCUAAACUAAGUUCUCAUGUAAUCGAAACCUUUAACAUAACCAACUUAAAACUCAAAUAUCUCAGUCUAUACUCAAUCAUUUCGCCUAAAACCAAUUUCGUUCAUCUUACAAUUCGCCUACGACUAAUUGUCAACCUUUAUAAUACAAUAAAAUACUAAUUUCAUUGUACCAACUUUUUCGACAUGUUUUAUGGCUUUUUUUUCUGAAAAUUCAUUAAAACUUAAGAAUUCUUUAAUGAAACUUCAAAGUAAGUUUACAAACCUUCUAAUAAAGUUAAAAAAAAGUUGAAAACACUUUAAAACCAAGUUUUUAUGCAAAAUCCCAAAAUUCACCAUUAAAGACCUGAUUUUUGGCUUUUAUUUAAAAUAUGCGAUUUAAUGGCUAAAAACUUGGUUUUAAAGACUAUAUAACAUUUAAACCUAAUUAGAAGUUGAAUCAUUACCUUAGAUGAAGAAAAUCUAUGCAUUUCAUCAAAGACUCAAAAAACCCGAAAGCUUAACAAUGGAGGAACUAUGAUAUUUUUGGGUGUUUUUCUUGGUUUUUUUAUAGAGAUUUAAGGUUCAAGGGUGAUAGAAAUCAAAAAGGAUUUGAAAUUGGAGUUCAAAAUUGAUUGAAGUAGCAAGGGAGAAUCAAGGGACGACAAACACAAAUUUUGGGGAAAAUUUACGUGAAAAAUUGUAGGUGGGAAAGAAUAAAUAGGUUGGUUUUUAAAUUUUGGUCUAUUUGCUUCUUAAAAACUCACAACUUUGAAUCUUUUACAAAUCAGUUCUACUUUCAAAAUUAAAGGUAUUUUAAACUCAUUUUGAAAAAUUGAUUUAAUUUUCUAAAAACCAUAGUAAAAUACAUUACUGAUAAACCAUAUUGCAAAAUUUUGAACACUCAAAGGAUAAAAUUUCUAAAAUACCCUUAAAACUCCUAGACCCUAUUUUAGGGUGUUACAACUCGAAUGUAAGUUUAGACCUUCCAAUCGUAGACACCGACAACCAAUUAUCACCUUUUUUCCUCGGCCACACUAGUAUUAACUACCUCAGCCUUCCAUUCCUCGUCGCUCUUAAAAGCCCUUCUGUUUCUAUUUUUCAACCUAUAACAUUAUGCCUGUAUGUGACUCAACUUCUUGCAGUAGUUAGAUGGCUUGUCAUGAUUCCUCGACUUCGAUCUUGACCUAGAAUUAUUCUGAUCUACAUCCUUAGACUAUUGCUUGCCUCUAGUGACCAAAACUGAGGUUUGACUAACAGACUUGCUUCCCUAACUCAUUUAUGAGUUUUUCCUAACUCAACAAGUUACCCUUCACAUCCUCAAAUGAGAUUUUAUCUCUACCAUAAAUCAGGGUAUCCUUGAAAGUUUUAUAUGGAGGGGACAAAGAGCACAAUGAUAGCAUAGUCUGAUCUUCAUCAUCUAUAUUGAGCUCAACAUUCUUCAAAUCAUUCAAGAGAGUAACAAAUUGACUGAUGUGACCUCUAAGGCUUUCACUUCAUCCAUACGGUACGCGUAUAGGUGUUGUUUCAAUACCAAUCGUUUGGCUUCAAACUUUGUCAUGUAUAGGGUUUUUAAUUUUCUCCAUAACGCUGCUACUGUUUUCUCUGUAAGCACCUUUUGCAACACAUUGUUUGUGAGACACAAUUCACUUGUUGACAGAGUCUACUCAUCAAGCUCUUCCCAUUUUGGCUGGUUUAGAUUUUUAGGCUUUUGCUCGGUAACGACCCUUUUUAAGUCGUUCUGAACUAGAAUUGUCGUCAUUCGUACUUGCCACAAACUGAAAUUUGCGAUCCCAUCUAACCUUUUGAUACCGAAUCUCGUUGUUGUCAUUCUGAGUGAGUUGAUUGCGAAAUUCGAACCAAACUCUGAUACUAAUUUGUUGGGGAUUGAGCCGUAUAAAAAACAAAAUAAAAAAGUAGAAAAUGUCUAACACAUAAAUUUAAGGUGGAAAACUCCUCUGAAGAGGAUAAAAACCAUAGGAAAAUAAGGCUUCACUAAUCAUCAAAGUAACGAAGAGUACAAUAUGGAGAUAAUAAUCCUAAAAGAGCAAAACACAAACCCCAAAUACAAAGCCCUCUAAAACUCUCCCCAAAGCUCUUCACCAAAUAUCACAUAAGAGAUAUUCAAUGAACUCACUAACCAGGGUUACAAAGACAUUUUAAAUUGGCUAUAGUCAUAGUGCUAAUAUGACUAAAGUAUCCUAUAUUAAUCAUAGUUCAACUGGGCAAAGAUAGCAGAGUUUAACUAGGAGAAAAGACCCGAUUUAUGUGGGAACACGUUGUCACGUUGUCACGUCAUUUAUCGACUCAUCUCGAUGUUAUUUAUUGGCUCGUCUUGAUGUCCUGAUAAAUGCUCGUCGAUCGGGAGAAAAGAUCUGAUAAAUGUCAUUUUGAGCCUUCUUCAUUUGCUCGUCAAUCGACUUUCUAACUGUUUGGAGUCAAAUAAAUGUGAGGCACACCCCACACAUUGAGUCAUUGUACUAUUUUUUUAUUCAAAAAUCUUGAUCCUUUGUUUAAUUUUCCCGUUAAAGUUAUAAAUGUCAAAGGUAAAAUAACUUUUUAGCCCUUAAUAUUUAUAUUUUUUUUUCAAUUUGGUCUUUACCCUUUAAAAUUACAUAAAAAAGUUUCAAACUUUUUUUUCACAUUUAGAAAAAAACAUAAACACUAAGAAAAUUAUAUUUUUUAAAAAAAUAAAAUUUUAAUUUAAAAAAUAAAAAUUGAAAAAUAAAAAAAUGAAAAAGCUUUUAAAAAUAUAAAAAAAAAACUUAAAAAUUUAAUGUUACCUAAACUGGACCUGACCGAACAAGUCGAUCAAACUAGGAACCAAUUGGGGUAUCGAUUUGUAAGAGGUAAUGUAACACUCCUAUGUCUGUCGGGACGAUCAAAGAAGUGUUAUCAGAAGGUUUAAUGUUGCACGAUAAGAAGAAAACAAGGUUUCACUUUUAAGUUAUAAAGACGGUGCACUGCUAUUAAUUAAUGCUCAACGAGUUCACAUUUGAAAUAUAAACCAAAGUAAUAAAUACAAAUACGUACAAUAAUUUAGAAUGAAGGUUCAAUGUUCGAAAGAGUAAAAACAAAAGUUGUUCAAGCCUGCAUGCUGCCCUCGUUUGUACAUGUACAAAAUUACAAAAGGGAUGACUCACAAAUGAGAUCGUGCUUUGGUUGAGUCCUUUCAAAAAAUCCGCAACUUAUGGAAAGAAGAAAAACCGCCCAAUUUCUAAAUGAACUUAGUGAGUUCCAAAAAUCUAUAACCUUUUUGCAUUAAAAGGGGAACACAUCAAAACAUCAUCACGCAAGUAUUCUAAGAGUUAAUAAGUCAAGCAGUUCAUCCUAGGGGUGAACUAAAACAUUUAACCGAUAUGGCAUCCUCUCUCACCAUAGCUCGUUGCUUCUAAGGUGUGCUUAAUAAUUCAGCUUGUGCAUGUCAUAACUCGCACAUAUGCAUAGCUUGCACAUUGACCACAACUUGGACAUUCACUACAUCUCGCACAUGGGCACAACUCGCAUGUUAGCAUAGAUUGCAUAUUGACUACAACAAACAUAUGGGCACAUCACACACAUUAAUGUAGCUCGCACAUGGUUACGGUUCAUUUAUAAGCUUAGCUUUCAUAUUGUCAUAGCUCGGGCGUUGCCACAGCUUGUGCAUACAUUGCAGAUACAGUUUCCAUGCAACUUAUUGUAACAUUAGCACGCACAAUUGUUUCACAAUUUCAGUCCGCACAUACGCUACAGUGUCAGUUCACUUAUAGAACUUAAUGUAAUUAGCAUGCACAUACCUUAUAUAGGCAGUUCGCAUAAGGAACGUAAUAUAAUUAGCACACACAUACUUGGUUUAGACAGUUCACACACGGGCCCUUAAUAUAAUCAGCACGCAUAUACUUGUUUUAGACAGUUCACACAUAGACUCUUUCUUGUGCUAGCUUAUGAUCCUUUCAUCGCUCCGAAGAGCCCAUAUUUCAUUUAUACCAACCUACCUUCGUAAAUCCUCCUUGUUAAUUUGAAUGCAUUCGUGUUCCCCUAUAAGGUCGGGGUCUUUCGCCAAUCUCGGUUUGCAUUUACAUGCCUUACUAGAGGAAAAACACAUAUCAGUUCAUAUCAUUAAUCUCCAUUCGAUUCUCCCAUCACAAUCACACUUCAACAGUCACCUCCGUUUCUCUCAUUUCCUCCAUUUUGGAUAUUGAGCUUGUGCACCAAGGAAGGAGUAUCCAUUUUGAUCUUUUACACACAAACAAUUUCCAUAUUUAUAGCUCUCCCACUCAAGAAAGCACAUCCAAUGAUUAAUUUACGUAGGUUGUACAUUUCUAUUAAUCGAUUCUAACUAGUUUAUGGAAAUAAGCUUUACAUAGAUUUAAGCAAAACGAAAUUAGUAAACCAAAAGACAUAGCAAAACUUUACCUAGUCAGACGAAAACUUUAAGUAAUUCAUUAAUUAACAAGUAUAAGUUAAGGGAACUCACAAAAGUUUCCAAAAAUGUUUCUGUUUAUUUUACAGGUUCUUUUGUCACAUCCAAACUAGAAGAAAUAAAGAUAAAAUUUAGAUUUUAAUGCAUAAUAAGAAUAGGGAAAGCGAACCUAUAGUGCCUUAAAUUUAUUGUUGAUAAGGAAUUAAAAAGAAUAGACCACUAGGCUUAAUUGUUAAGUGUUAAGCAAGUUAAGGUCCUAGGUUUGAACUCCCUUAAUUGCACCCAUUUGCUGAUUUUUUUUCCAAUUUCCCCUAAUGUUUGGCCAAAACCCUUAAAAAUAGUUUCUUAAAGGCUAAUGUCAAGAAUGAGUUUGUUGGUUCAAUAGUUAAGACUUAGCAUCCCCUUCGAUCCCAAGUUCAAAACCUUUUGUGCGCUUUUAGCCAAAAUAUUUUAUUUUCUUAUUUUACCCCCAUAAAGUAUCGAAUUUUCAAACCAAGCCCAAACCGAAAACUAUAUUUUUUUAUUUUAGACCUUAAUUUAAAUCAAUCUUAAUUCUAAACUAAUUCCUAAUUCUAUUUUAAUUAGGGAAGAAUUUUUAUAAAUAGCCAAUCUUUUCAAAACCUAGAAUUCUUAUUUAUAAUUUUUUUCAAGAAAAGCUCUCAAAAUUCUCUCUUCUUAUUCAUUACUGAAACCCUCAUUGCAAUUAGGGUUCUUAAAAGUUCAAUAUUGGCCUAUUUUCUCAUCCAUUGUCAAACCACAUUACUUAACCAAAGAUUUCAAGAUUUUCUAUUGCAUCUGUCUCAUCCUAGUGGUUGCAAACCCUAUAUACGAACAUGUUAUGUACAUGUUAGCUGAAUUAGCAUGUUAACAACCUAAUGUUAAUACAUCGAUACAAGUUUUUAGUUUGCAUGAAGAAAUUGUAUAUGUGAAAUUGAUAUGAAUGAAUGCAUGAAUACAUGACAUUAGAUGAUAAUAUGAAAUAAUAAAUGUGCUUGACAAGAAUAGUAUCAAUUGUUGAUAAAUAGCAUGAUAUGCUGAGUUUAUGUGCAUAAUUACAUGAAAUUGAGUAUGGAGGAUGGAGGAGUUUCGUAGGAGAAAGUGCCAAUUGAAGUCCACACUGAAAGUUAGUACUGCAUGAAGUAGGCGACAAUAUCAUCGAAAUUGGGUAAAUCGGAUUGAUAGUUUAAAAAGGCCAUCAAAAUUGGGCAACUCGGGAUGGUAAGUUAUUGUAAUAAAAGUCAUCUUCACAGAUGACAAGUGAAUGUCCAUAGUCACGGGGAAAUUCAGGAUGGUCAAUUAUUGAUAUUGGUUUUAGAGUGUCAAGCGAUGCUCGAGGGCGGAUAUGAUGGAUGGGUGAGAACUUAAAAUUAAAAUUCUAGUGCAUCAUGAACAUAACCUAUACAUGCAUUGAUUUAUUGAAUAUUCCUUACAUUAUGCUUAAUCUGCUAUGAUGUUAUAAAUUGCAUGUUUUACUAUUUGAACAAUUAUAUAUAAUGGUUUAAAAAUUAGACUUGCAUUGGGCUGCCAUAAGCUCACUUUCCCCUUUCCUUACCUCUUAGGUAAUGCAAAAAACUAGGACUAGGAAUGGCAUUAGAGGAACCUCGAACUAGCAUCUCAUGUUUUUUAUUUAACAGUUUCCAUUAAAGCUUUCUUUAAUUGUUUUAUUGGUUUAUUUAUCGGGUUGUAAAUUAUUAAUUAUUUUUUUAUUUUAUAACUAUGGUUUGGGAUUAUUUAGCUUAUUAAUUUCUAAGCAUGAUACUUGGUUAAUACCCUGAUAAUUGCAUUCUAAUUAGUUUAGAAAACUAUUAUUCUUAAUAAUGUUUUCCUCUACUUUGCUAAAAACUUAAAGUUUUGAUAAGUCUUUUUAAACCUUAACUGUUUUUCUCAAAAAUUCACACUAAUAAUAUUGUAAUUGGAUUACUAAGUAAAGCCGGUUUGAUUAUUGAUUUUUUUAUUAAAAACAAAAUAGUGAUUUUCAUACAAUUCAACUCAAGCAUAAGAAUGACUUUAUUUGAUCACUUUGGUGAUCAAUGUAACGCCAUUGACUUAGCCAAAACUCUUAGGCCAGGUCAGGGGUGUUACAUCUUUUCCCUUUCUACUAGGGCCUUCCCCCACUUCUUUAGUUAAACACAUUCAAUACCUCAGUUACCAAAUAGAAACAACCAGAACAACAACCAAGUCCUUAUCGAAAAUUGAGAAAUCUAACAACUAUUGCAACAUGCAACAAUUGCAAAGGAGAAUACUCCCUUCACCCAUACUUUCAAUUUAGUCCUAUAUAAACAAUUCCUAAAAUUUUACUGAAAUUAUGGUUAAAGACAGACUCAAGAAAGUUACUAGCAACUACUUGAAAAAGAACAACUUCUAAGCAAGUUAAAAUCAUGAUUUCCUCCCACAAACAGCUAGAGUUAUAAUCUUCAAUUUCUCAACGAAGGUACACAGGAAAGACACAGGAAAGGAAAAUAGAAUUGAAGUCUUCUCCCCUUUUUCCUCUCCCCUCGACCUCCUACUCUACUCUUAGAAUAAUUUAAGAUUAAAAAUAAUUUAACCAGUCAAUGCCCUUAGCCAACCACUAAUAGCAACACAUGCACACACAGUUCCACUACCCACUAACUAUUCCUGAGGCCAACAAGUCUCAUGCACGAUGACACGUUUCCCUUCUCAAAGCUUAACACAUGCCCAAAUACGUGUCAUACACAUCGCGAGGAGUUAAGGUAACAACGAGCUCACAAACUAACGAGCUCUUUGACUAAAGAGCUCGGAGAGCAGUGAACUCAAUAACUAACGAGCUCACAAACUAGUGAGCUCACAAGGCAGCAAAGACAACUUGCCACAUACGAGGUGGAGGCUUGCGAGAUGGUAAGACAAUAGCGAAGCAGCUCAUGAGGGGAUGUUCAAAGAUAAAACCAGUCUAAUUCUCACGAAUUAGACGAGCUCACACAAGUUCCUUACCGUUCCCACUUGAUUAACAUUCCAGAAUACAGUUCCAAAAAUUUGGGGUGUGACAGGUGAAAAGUUGGUUGACUUGCGAACUGAUACGGACUACUUGAACCUAGUAAAAAAAUCAAUUGAACCUAUUUUGCACUGGUUUGACCAAUUGGUUCCUAGAACAAUUGGUUUAAUUGGUUCAAAGCAAAUAAAUUAUGAAAAAUAAAAAAUAAAAAUAUACAAAAAUCGGUUCAAUUUGUAGUUAAACUGAUUUUAUCCUACUUCAACCAGUCCAUGCCAGUUCGCAGGUCAACUGGCUUUUAAAAUUUUUAAACAUUUUUAGCCUUCAAGAUUUACAUUUUUUUUGUCAAUUUUAUCCAUACCCUUUAAAAGUACAUAAAUUUUUAAAAAUGAUUAAUUUUUUUUAAUUUAAAAAAAGCAUAAAAAUUGAAAAAAAAGUAUAAAUUUUUUAAAUAUAAAAAUAUUGUAACGCCAUAAAUAAUUUAUUUAUGUUUUUGUAAAUCCUAACAUAAAUGAGUAUUUGCUUCAAUGGCUAAGUGCUUUGGAUGUGUGUUUGUGGUCUUGGGUUUAAGUCCUACUUUCUGGAAAAAUUUUGUUAUUUUUUUUUUAUUCUAGCCUUAUCUCUGCUGGAUAGGCUUAUGUAAUAUUGUUUGUAAACUCAUAUAAGAAUCAGUCUGCUGAUUUGAGUGGUAAGGAGUUAGUGUGUUGGAGUUCUUGUGGCUGAAUCCCUGCCCGAGCUUGAGUGUUAAUUUUUGUUCCGGUUGUCUGUUAGAGGUUCGGUGGAGUUGGGAGUCUAAAGUAGUUGGAUGUGGUUAGUGGGGAGGAUAUUAUGGGAUGUGGUUGUUAGUGGGGAGUUGAGAUGUUAAUCAAAAAUCAAUUUAUUAUCUUUUUAUUUUAUUUUUUAAAAUUUUUCUCUCUCUUCCCAAAAGUCUAACGUUAGCUUUCUUUUUCUCUACCAUAUUCUUUUUUCUCUUCUUUUUCCUACAAUUCUAUCUUUGAUCUGCUGUCGUAUCAGUGUAUUUCAAAAUUUUGGUGUUUUACUUGCAGUUGGGUAAGUAGGGAUUUCACUUGUCUGUAACGAUUCUUGUAAGUUGUUGCGUUUAUUCAUUUCGUUUAAAUUUCUAAAUGGUGUGAAGUAAGGGAGUUUGAUUUUCGGUGAUGUAUUGCGUAGGAGUUGUUGGUGAACCUGCGGAUUUCGCUCCUACAGCAUAAACCGCAGUAGGGGUUGUUCUUAUCGGUGGUAAGUGUGUUUGCGCGAUUCAGUUUUACGAUGUUAAAUUCGUAUUUGAUUGCUAAAAAGGUGUUGGGUAUUAUAUUUUUAAGUGCUAGUGGUCUCGGAAAUGGUUUCGCAUCAAAACUGAACUAGGUGUGUAUCCCUAACAUGAGAAAAUGAUAUUCAGGGAAAGCCAAAAAUGGGGUUUAUUGACACCACACGGGCGUGUGCCCAAUCGUGUAUGAGACACGACUGUGUGACUGGCGAAGGUGUGGCCAUGCGCAUGACACAGCCAUGUGACGGUGUGAGUAUGGUCGUGUGGGCCACAUGGCCUAGGCCAGGUUAGGCGUGUGGGUCACACGGGCAUGCCUCUCGGGCGUGUGGGUUUUGGGCCAUGUCGUGUAGGCCACACGGGCAAGGCCAAUCUGGGCGUGUGGGCCCACACAAGCAUGUGGGCCUAAAAUUUUAAAAUAUUCCCUAGAGUCGCAUGGGUCGUUCUGAUAGACUGCAGACCUACCGUAGGGUCGAUAAGGGCUAACCAAACCCUAAUUCAUGUGAUCUGAGUAGGACACUGAUACGCAUGUCUAACUGUUCUGUUUGAGUAUAUAUAUGUUAUCCAUAUACAAGCAUGUUAAGCAUGUUAACUCUGUUAAUUUUGUAUUCUGUAUUUGUGUUUGGGGUGGUAUUUGCAUAUGUGGAGGAAGUGAUCUAUCGGUGACCUUUCGCCUAUAUUCAUGCAGCUUGACUGCAUAUUAUUCUAUCAUGUGUUGCAUCGACACUAUAUGGUGUGUUGGGAUGGGUGGGUGUUUUUAACCCCACAUGGUGUGAUGGGAUGGUCGGAGAUGGUGUGUAGAGGAUGGGGGUAGGAUUCUAUAUAUCUCUUCUGCUUAACUGAUUUUGAUAUCUGUAUCUGGUCUGAAUUUGCAACUGACGGUAUAUGAAAUUCUAUAUAUGUUGCAUGACUAUUUCUGUUGGGUUACACACUAAGUUUAUGAAAACUCACAUCUAUUUGUUUGUUCUGUUCAGGUAAUCCACAGACUUAGGCGGGUCGGUGCGCCGGAGGUUCAGCGGUGACCACUUUAUCGAGAUUUUUUUAUUUUAUAAUAAUGGUUUUAUUUUAAAAUUUGGCUUUUGUGAGAGUUCUUUAAUUUUUGGACUCUCCGGACUUUUUGGACUGUUUGGUUUGAAUUCUUGGGUUUGAUUGCGUUAUGAUUUCUAAACUGCGAAGAUUCAACAAAAUACCGAUUUUACGUGAACAAAUGUUAUUUUUGGAAACAAGAACAUGGUUUUGUUUUAAACGAUUUUCAAACUUUUGCUGUGAAAUAAUUAGUUAUAAAGGACAACAUAUAACGAUUUCAGUAAUAUAUAAACGGAUAUAUUUUAUAAUACUUGAAUGUUUUAUCAAAUAACUAAACAUGGUUUUAUCCAAGUAUAGGCAAUUUCAAAACCCUUCUUCGUAGCACUCCCAGAUUCGACCAUAGCUCUAGGUAGUGUUCGGGGUGUUAUAGAUUUUUUUUAAAAUAUAAAAAUAUUUAAAAAAAUAAAAACUCUUGAAAUUUCAAAAAUCAAAAGAUCUUAAAAAUAAAAAAUUCCAAAAUUUAAUGUUAUAUAAAUCAGACUGGACCGAUAGGAUCAAGAAUCAAUUGGGGUAUAUUGGUACAAACAGGUUUUUAUAAUUUAUAAUUUAUUGUUUUUAAUAAUAUAUUUACUUUGAACCUGUCGGACUAAUCGUUCUGGGAACCAAUUGGUUAAACUAGUUUGAAUUCAGUUCAAUUGCUAGUUCAACCAAUUUUUAGCUUGGUUCAACUAGUCCAUACCGGUUUCUGGGUCAACUUUUUUUUUUGCGUCUGGUCGGACCAAUACCCCAACCGAUUCCUGGUCCUAUUGGCUAGUUUGGUCUAGUUUAGAUAAUAUUGAUUUUUUGAAUUUUUUAUAUAUAUUUUUUAUUUUAAAGUGUUUUUUUCUAUAUUGUUUAUAAUUAAAUUAUGAUUUUUUAUUUAAUAUAUGAAAAAAUAUUUAAUUUUUAAAUUGUUUAUAUACUUUUAAAGGCUAAGAUCAAAUUGAAAAUAAUUAUAAACAUUGAAGAUUAAUAGUAUUAUUUAACCUUUGACACCAUUAAUUCUUUAAAAAAAAGAAUAAAUAUUUUUAAAUAAAAAAGUAAAAUUAAAUGGAUAAAAUAAUAUUUUAAAAUAAAAAAUAUAAAAAUUGAAAGCAUAUUCUAACUAUUUUUAAUUCCAGACUUGGAUCGACCAAAACCCCAUUUCAAACUCUCAAAGUCUUUGAAGAACCGACUAAGAAAUUAACAAAAUGUAUAUUCAUAUUUAUUUACUUAUUUUUCUUAUUUUCUUGGGUGAGGGCCUGAUUGGAACGUGAACAAACAAAAAGAUUGUUAUAUAAUAUUCUUAAAAGAAUUUGUAUAGUAUUUUUAAAUUAUUCUCUUAUAAUCUAAUUUUCGAAAAACUAACGCUUUUUUACUCAAAAUGAGAGAUAGUUUAUAUGGUAAUUCACCUCCUUUAUCAGUGCAAGAUGUUAAGGUGUAAGAUAUUCUAUAUUCUAGAAACAAAUUGUGCAUUUCUGUAGGUUGGGAAAAGUCAAACUAGGUAGUUAGGUUGCCGUAGACAUUUGAUCUUAAUUAUUAUCCUUAGUACAAUAAUUUGACACUAAUUAUAUUAUAUUCUAUUUUAACAACACGAUUAUUAUUAUAAUCAACUACGUUUUCUGCAGGCUACUUGCUUUCUGGAUAGUCCAAGUCUUCCCACGAAUUUGCCAUUAAUUCCAUUCUAUUCUAUUUUGUUUACUUUUCUCAUUACGAUAAUAAACUAGUUAAUUGAAGUUGCAUUCCUAUUUCACCUUAAAAUUUCAUCCAAUUAUUAUUUUGGUAUUAAAAGAAUAUUUAUGAUCACAAUUUUAUAAAGUAAAUAAUAGUAAUUUAACUUGAAAGUUUGUCUAAACUUUAGAUUUACCUUAAUUUCAUUUGAAUCAAUUUGAAAAAAGAUUAGAAUGUUAAAUAAGUAAAGGGUAAAUGUAAUUCAAAAUGAAUAGCAAAUAAUUUCAACUUUCUAUUUUAAUUCUAAAAUUUUUUAUUUUUAAUCAACUUAUAAUUCUUUAAAUUUGAAAUAAAUCAAAUAAAAAAUAGUCUAAUAAUUUGUAUUUAAAUUGAUCAAAACUCAAAACUAUCUAAAUUUAAAAUAGUUAAACUCAAAAUGAACUCAAAUCUCAAAUAAAAAAGAUUGAUUAAAGAGACAAUUAUGACAACUACGAAUUCAUCUGCAUGGAAAUUUAUGGCAAUGGUAACAUUAGUUUGGAAUCUAAAAUGAUUGAAAAAGAAAAACAUAAACAACUUUAUACAAUUUAAUUCAAUUCUUUUAAGUCUUGACAAGUCUUGAAACAACUAAUUCCAUAUACAAUAAUAUUGUGAUAAUUUCUGGAAUUUUUUUUAUAAUGAUUGUAAAUUUUUUUAUCGUGAAAAACUAAAAUUUUAAAAAAUAAUAGAAAAUCAUCCAAGUUUGUUAAAAAGUACAAUAGAUAUUUAUAUAUCCAUAUUGUUCCAUGUUUUUUUUCUAUAUUUUAAAUGAUUUUUCUUUUCUUUUUGAAUUUUCACUAUUUUUUUAUUUUAUGUUUUCUAAAAAGAAAAGCAUUUUUUUUAGUUCCAGGAAAGCUUUUAAUUUUUCUUUAUUUUUAAAUUUUUUGAGAUUUUCCUUUUUCCUUUUUUUUUUUUUGCAAUUUUCUGUUCUUUUUACAUUUAUUUAAGAAAAAAAGAAAUUUGGGUGACGUAAAGUGCCACAUCAUUUCUUUUAGCAGCAGCAAGAGCUGAGGUAACUUCAGAUAUCAAAUUGAUAAAUCCUUUUUAAGUACCGAAAUAAUAAUUGAGUACAAUUUAGGGGUAAAUAGUAUAUUAACCAUUUAUUAUAUUAAAAAUUUGUUUUAUGUUUCCAUAUUUAAUGAUACCAAUUAACAUUAUAUUUUAUUAAAAAAAUAUACAACUAACCGAAUUAUUUUGAAUUUAAUAAAAACAAUUUCUUAAAUAAUAAUGAAAUAAUUUUUAAUCAAUACUUAUAAAAACAGUCAACACAUUUCAUUAUCCUGUAUCCAUUCUAAAUUUUUAAGUAAGCAUUAUUGAAAACAAUAAAUUAAGCAAAUAAAUAAAUAAGUAGAAGACAAACUGAUACAAUAUUUGAAGUCACCAAUUUGAGAUUUAAUAAGAAAGUUCUGGCUGCCUCUUUUGACUAGUACCAAUUCAAUGAAUAUUAAGAAAUUAACAUAAAUCCAACUAAAAAAAUUGAGAGUAGUGAAGUUCUUACGCUUCAAGUUCAGUCUAUAAAUAGCAUCUUAGUUCUCUAUCAUCUCACAACUCAACUCAAUCAUCCACUUCUUCUCUUAUUUGAACUCAAAGUCCCAGCUAAUAUUAGAAUCAUGGGUGUUGUCACUUAUGACUAUGAGAAUACCUCCCCAGUCGCCCCUGCCAGGCUUUUCAAGGCCUUUACUGUUGAAGCUCCGAAAGUUUGGCCCACGGCUGCACCUAAUGCAGUCAAGAGCCUUGAGGUUGAAGCUAAUCCUAGCUCUGGAAGUAUCGUAAAAAUCAACUUUAUUGAAGGUUAGUUCUUUCAUUUUCACUUUCAUUGGCCUUCUUGUAGUCUGUUUUACACGAGUAUGUUGGAUAACAAGUAUUUAUUUCUUUAGGCCUUCCAUUCCAAUAUAUGAAGCACCAGAUCGGAGGACAUGAUGAAAGUAAUUUUUCAUACA
rnacentral:lncRNA from 1 species